rnacentral:lncRNA from 1 species
GCUCAGGACACUGCUGAUCAGGUACGCCAGCUGUGGACUAGGGUCGAGCGUGCGGAACAGGAGACGCGUGACGUCCUCCGGGAGUUUCACAUGAGGCAGGUAAGGUGGGAAUCUCGACUCCAGGAUGCAGAACGCCUGGUGGCUCGUCUUCAGGGAGCAUCCACAUCUUCGGCACCACCUCCUGACGCAGCUCAUCGCGGCUAGGAAUAGACUUAUCAUAGUAGGUUAUUAGGAACUAUAUUAUGUACUCCGGCUCUAUGUUUAAGUGACUACACUACUCAUGGAGCCGUUAUGCUGUCGGAAUAGUGUAUGCUCCUACGAGCAAAUUUUCUUGUGCUAAAUGCGGAUAAUAUUAAUAAACUUUUGGGUGUUUUGCUAAAUUAUUCUCAGUUGCUAUGUGUUGAGACAUUAUGAUUGCAUGCUUGAUGAUAGUAAUGUUUAGGUUCGCACCAUACACCUAGUUAGUAGAGUCGCCACCUCACAGAAACCACGUACACUCAACAUCUUUCCGUUUCAUGACAGAAAGAUGCCUCGCCCAGCUACUCGCGGAAAUCCCGAACCAACUCCGCCGGAAGUUGACUCCACUGCUUUCCAGGCAGCCGUGUCUGCUGCAGUCACAGCGGCUAUGGCACAACUUCACCGAGGGAACAACGGAGGAGGUAACGGGCAAGGAUCCGGAAGUUCGAACAACGGGACGAACCAAGGACUCACUAAAACGUGCACCUACAAGGAUUUUGCGAACGCUAAACCCCGAACUUUCAACGGUACCGGAGGAGUGAUCGCCCUAAAGCGAUGGAUCGAGAAGGUAGAGUCGGUAUUCGAGAUAUGCGAGUGCCCCGAGCAGAUGAAAGUGAAGUUCGCGGCCUGCACUUUUGUGGACCAAGCACUCACUUGGUGGAAUGGUCAUGUGGAAGCUAUGACACUCCCUGUCGCCAACUCUAUUCCCUGGGCAGAGAUGAAAGAGAUGUUGACGGCUGAGUACUGCCCCCGAGGCGAAAUACAGAAGAUGGAGCAGGAACUAUGGAAUCUCACGGUGCAGAAUGGGAACAUCGAUGCUUACAUAUCGAGAUUCAGCGAACUAUCUCUGUUGUGCCCGGGUAUGAUCACAUCAGAGGGGAAGAAGAUUGAACGAUUCAUUUGGGGACUGACAUCCCCCAUUCAAGGGAAUGUGAUAGCUGCGAACCCUGAAACUUUUGACAGUGCGAAGAGAUUGGCAAAGAGGCUAUAUGAUCAUAACCACAAAAAGGGCGAGAAACCGGUAGAGACUGAGAAGAAGAAGGAGAGUGAUGGUAAGAAAGGAUGGAACAACAAGAGGAAGGGGCGUCAGGGUCCCGAGACCUCUAAAAAGCAGCAAACGGUGGCAGUUCACGCUGUCACUGCGCCGGUNNNNNNNNNNNNNNNNNNNNNNNNNNNNNNNNNNNNNNNNNNNNNNNNNNNNNNNNNNNNNNNNNNNNNNNNNNNNNNNNNNNNNNNNNNNNNNNNNNNNNNNNNNNNNNNNNNNNNNNNNNNNNNNNNNNNNNNNNNNNNNNNNNNNNNNNNNNNNNNNNNNNNNNNNNNNNNNNNNNNNNNNNNNNNNNNNNNNNNNNNNNNNNNNNNNNNNNNNNNNNNNNNNNNNNNNNNNNNNNNNNNNNNNNNNNNNNNNNNNNNNNNNNNNNNNNNNNNNNNNNNNNNNNNNNNNNNNNNNNNNNNNNNNNNNNNNNNNNNNNNNNNNNNNNNNNNNNNNNNNNNNNNNNNNNNNNNNNNNNNNNNNNNNNNNNNNNNNNNNNNNNNNNNNNNNNNNNNNNNNNNNNNNNNNNNNNNNNNNNNNNNNNNNNNNNNNNNNNNNNNNNNNNNNNNNNNNNNNNNNNNNNNNNNNNNNNNNNNNNNNNNNNNNNNNNNNNNNNNNNNNNNNNNNNNNNNNNNNNNNNNNNNNNNNNNNNNNNNNNNNNNNNNNNNNNNNNNNNNNNNNNNNNNNNNNNNNNNNNNNNNNNNNNNNNNNNNNNNNNNNNNNNNNNNNNNNNNNNNNNNNNNNNNNNNNNNNNNNNNNNNNNNNNNNNNNNNNNNNNNNNNNNNNNNNNNNNNNNNNNNNNNNNNNNNNNNNNNNNNNNNNNNNNNNNNNNNNNNNNNNNNNNNNNNNNNNNNNNNNNNNNNNNNNNNNNNNNNNNNNNNNNNNNNNNNNNNNNNNNNNNNNNNNNNNNNNNNNNNNNNNNNNNNNNNNNNNNNNNNNNNNNNNNNNNNNNNNNNNNNNNNNNNNNNNNNNNNNNNNNNNNNNNNNNNNNNNNNNNNNNNNNNNNNNNNNNNNNNNNNNNNNNNNNNNNNNNNNNNNNNNNNNNNNNNNNNNNNNNNNNNNNNNNNNNNNNNNNNNNNNNNNNNNNNNNNNNNNNNNNNNNNNNNNNNNNNNNNNNNNNNNNNNNNNNNNNNNNNNNNNNNNNNNNNNNNNNNNNNNNNNNNNNNNNNNNNNNNNNNNNNNNNNNNNNNNNNNNNNNNNNNNNNNNNNNNNNNNNNNNNNNNNNNNNNNNNNNNNNNNNNNNNNNNNNNNNNNNNNNNNNNNNNNNNNNNNNNNNNNNNNNNNNNNNNNNNNNNNNNNNNNNNNNNNNNNNNNNNNNNNNNNNNNNNNNNNNNNNNNNNNNNNNNNNNNNNNNNNNNNNNNNNNNNNNNNNNNNNNNNNNNNNNNNNNNNNNNNNNNNNNNNNNNNNNNNNNNNNNNNNNNNNNNNNNNNNNNNNNNNNNNNNNNNNNNNNNNNNNNNNNNNNNNNNNNNNNNNNNNNNNNNNNNNNNNNNNNNNNNNNNNNNNNNNNNNNNNNNNNNNNNNNNNNNNNNNNNNNNNNNNNNNNNNNNNNNNNNNNNNNNNNNNNNNNNNNNNNNNNNNNNNNNNNNNNNNNNNNNNNNNNNNNNNNNNNNNNNNNNNNNNNNNNNNNNNNNNNNNNNNNNNNNNNNNNNNNNNNNNNNNNNNNNNNNNNNNNNNNNNNNNNNNNNNNNNNNNNNNNNNNNNNNNNNNNNNNUUUUUUGCGAGGCGGGUCUGGGACCCCUCGUACCUUUUUAUCCCCAACCGGCUAAUGGAGUCGUCGAGGCCUUCGUGUCCUCCUUCUCUUCGGAUGUGGGACAACAGGACGGUUGGAUAGCGUGACUAGUACGGACGACGCCUUCGGGAUCGUUGGUAUUGCUAUAGACUAGUCGUUUGUGUAACACGUGUCUGUGGCGGAUAGUCAUGCUCAUCAAUGAUCCAAUGUCGUCUGGAAUAACAACUUCAUGCGUUGCAAUGGUCUCAAGUAAUUUUCAUGGAAUUCAAAGAAUUAGGAAGACAUCGGGUCUUCCUAGGGUUUUCAAUACAUACAAAUUCGGAACACAUACGAUUUCAAUAAACAAUAUUUUACAAGUAUAGAAAACAAACAGGCAUACUUAUGGAUCAUCACACCUUUUUGACUAUACUAUUUUCAGAAAAUAUCGGAUUUUCUGGUGGUUUUCAAACGAUACAAAGCAUUGUUUUCAAAUACAACUUAUGAACUCACCAACAUUUCAUAUGUUGACGUUUUUCAAAAUACUUGUAUUCUCAGGGAACCAGUGAAUCAAGGGAAAUCAUAUUCAGUGACGGUUGCAGUUUAUUUUUGUAUGAAUUGAACAAAUUAAUUUUUGGGGGAAUGUAAUGUUUAAACAAUGUAUGAUAUGUAAACACUACUGGUUGUACUAUGUUGAUGAAUGGUGACGAAUGUUGUUAUGUUUCAUAUAUAUUCAAUGUUAUGGUAUUCAAUUGAGUCACGACAGCCCCCGGACGUUUCCGCCGUCUGGUUCGGGGGUGUGACAAAUACGGAGGAUAAAGGCACAGAUUGAGAAAAAAUACUUGGGCGAAGAAUAGUUUGUCGGUGUUUUUUUUUAGAACACUUUAUGCCACUGUCAACCCCUCCUUCACCGGUCCACACCACCACCUCCUUAUUCAACAGCUUCAUUGCUUUGAUUCUUCAACAAUCAACUUCGAACAAGAUUAAAUAAAAAGACUAUAAAAGAUGCAUGACAUUGGCACUUUGCUUCUUGAAACUCUUUGAUUCAGUAGCCUUCCCUUUAGGAACGGAUAAACAGUUGAGAUUUGGGAGCCUCCGAUUCAGCAGUCAUCGACAUUCUUAUUAAUAACGACAUCAAAUUUGCAUCAAUUUGAUUGAACCCACUAUGUUACUUUCAAGGUUCAUCUCCCAGUCUUCUUAGAAAAACUACAUUUUUUAUCUAUGUGGUGAUUGUAAUCUUUGUUUCUUGAAUUACUAUGAAUAUUUGUACAUUGAAUGUACUAUGAGCCUAUGAAUAUUUACUUUUAGUUAUGAAUCUGCGAUGAAUUAUUGUUUUUGGUCUUGAAUGUGUUAUGAAUAUUUGUUUCAUGAAAUGCUAUGAAUUUUGUUUCUUGAAAAUACUAUGUUUUUUUUAACUACUAUGUCCAUUUGAAUUUCCCUUGUAAACAUGAAUCUUUUGUGAACCUAUAUAAUAUGUAAUAUGCUUUGAAGCAUGCAUUUUUUCCCUCAUUAUUGCCGAUUUCAUUUAUCUCAUCAUUUGCAAUUUCAUUGAUCUUCGUCUCAAUAUCUCUCUAAACUUUGAAGAUCCUCUUGCUCUGUCAACAUCUCUAUCCGAUGUUUUGACCUCUACACUCACAUCAUCUCAUCCCCAAAUUCUUAACUAUUAAGUAUGUUUAAGUUAUUUAACCUAACUUUGUUGUCUAUAUUUGUAAAUCAUAAAUUACUUUUAUGAAAUUUUUUGGGAUAUAUUAUAUAUUUACGAAAAUGUGACAGAGUUCUUUUAUGGAAUAAGCAUCUCUAAUAAAUAAAAAAACUUUUUACCAUUUGUCACAUUUAUAUUGAUUUGAUCACAUAUCAUUUUGUGGUUGUUUUCAAUUAAAAAAAUUUCACAUGGCAGUUUGUGAUUGUUUCAUUUUUAUUAAAUGUAUCAAUUGCAAUAAAUAUAAUAAUAAAGAUAUUUUAAUUUCAUUAAUUGACUUUCCUGCUAAUUUUAAAUUUUCUUAAUCAAAACUCAUUAGUUUUCUUUGUUUAUUUAUUUAAAUUAUUUGUUUAAAUUUAAAAAAGAAAAACACUUUAAUUUUAAUAAUUCAAUAUUUUUUAUUUUUCUUAUAAAUUCAACUAUGUAAGACAUGAAUCUUACACCUAAUAAGUAUAAUAGAGACAAGUUGUGUGGAAUAUUAUAGGAGUGGUAUGAAAUUGUUCGUUUAUUGCGGUGAGGAAGCAGUGGAUAUAUAUAAUUAUAGUCUUAUAAACCGUUUUAUUUCAUUUUAAAAGCUUCUUAAUAUUAUUUUCUUAUAGUUUAGAGGAUUAAAGUUAAUUUUUACAUGUUCAUUUUUUUUUUCACUUGAAAUUAAAGUUAAUAUUUUUCCACAAUCUUUAUUCGAUCUGAAAGCAGCGAAAACAAAGCUUACACCGUAAAACAGAACGACCAGAAGAUAGAUUGAGAGGGAGAGAGGGAUAUCGAUUAAGAAGUCAGAUUGAAAGACAGAGAUCAACAAUAGAGAGUUGCGGGAGAGAUCCGAUUGAAAUAUGGGUUGUUGUUCAUCCGUAUUCCAUAUCCAAGCGAUACAAAUGGGUAAAAUUGGCGAUCUCAGGGCUUCGAUUCCGAACUCUUAAGUCGAUUUCCAAAAUUGUGUGGUGUAAUCUUGAUGAAACGAUGUGAAUGACUCAUUUUCUAUAAGAUUCAACCCCUGAAAUGCAGAUACACUUACAUGGGAUCACAAUGGCGUUAAAUUCAAGCUUUUUUGCUGUUUUGAAGCAUUUGAAUGAAGCAAAUCGAAUUAUUGCUGUUACGAUUGAUAGAAAUUAAUCAUUGAGUUGUUUUAUGGACCAAGAUUUUAAGGAAAUUAUGAAUUAGAAGGGAGAGUCUUCGUUUUAUUUCAUAGAAGCACGAAAGAAACCCAUAAAAGCUGUGACAUUUUUCCUGAAAUCACUUUCUUUUAUUCUGUGUUUUGACUGUUUUCAACCAUUGGGUUUUUUAAGGAUGGAGGUGGUUGAAGAAGGCGAAAGGUAAGGGACUAUGGUGAAGGUGGUGGUGGAAGGUUGACGGUGGUGGUGACUGGAGGUAGAUUAUAUUGGAGGUGGUGGUGGAAGAAGAUCAAUUAUGCAUUUCUGGCAGUCAUUGAUGACAAGGCUAAGGGGUAAUCGAUUACACCUUCAUUUUUAUGAAAAUGAUCAUUUUAACCCAAAAAAAUCUAGUUUAUGCCACUAAACUACAAAAAAGACAUAAGUGACAUUUUAAACCAAAACAUGAUAUAUGAUAGUUCAUAGGGCCUCAUUGACAUUUUCCUUUUAGAAAACAAACUCGAUGUAGUUGAAACCUGCUAUAAGUGACAUUAUGGUUCUUUAGGAAGGUUAUAUGAGGAAUUAACUUAAUAGAUUUAUACUAAAUGCUCAAAACAAUACAUAAUAUGCAUACAACCAUACAGCAUGUGUAGCAAAUAGCAAUAGCAAUAGCUCCUAAUCCUUAGUUAAUACAUGGGAUUGUUUUUAACUUCCACGAUUAUGUUUUUUCGAAAGAGAGCUUCCAAGAUUAUGUUUGUAUAUUUCACAAUGAAACUUGGGAUUAUUUGUAACUUCAAGAUAAAGAAAAGUAUAAUUCUCAAGUCCACUAAUUACCUCGUGUAACCUAUUUAUAUGUGUAUUAGCAAAAUUGCUUUGGAUAACUAAUUCAACCUUUGCUAUUUUUCUUGCAGGAUUUAUGUUACAAGCAUUCCAAAAAAGUGCACCCCCUUAUAAAAUGGCUUGCAACCCAUCGCAACAACCGAUAAAGUUUAAUGUUGAUGAUCUUCAUAGGGCUAUGGACUUGAAGGAUAACAUCCGUAACAUGUCUGUUGUUGGACAACUUGGACAUGGUAGUAUAACAUCUCAAGUCAUUUUUUGUUACACCUAUUUCAUUUUUGUUAACUUUAUUAAUUAUCAUUCAUCUUUUAAUGUUAACAUCAACAGGAAAAUCCACUUUGAUUGAUUCUCUUGCGACUGCUGCGGGCAUCAUCCCAUGUGAUGACGAUAUCCACAUGACCUACACCCGUGAGGACGAGGCACAACGUGGUAUGACCAUAAAGUCAUCCGGGAUUUCCCUCUACUAUAAAAUGACCGAUGUAGCCCUUGAAGCCUUCAAAGGAGAACGUAAUGGAAAUGAGUACCUCAUCAAUCUCAUUGACUCACCCGGGCACGUUGACUUUUCAUCCGAACUCACCGCUGCCCUCCGUAUCACCGACGGCGCUCUUGUCGUUGUCGACUGUAUCGAUGGCGUUUGCAUCCAAACAAGAAACGCGCUUCGCCUCGCACUCGGUGAGAGAAUCCCACCUGUAUUGGCCCUCAACAAAAUGGAUCGUUGUUUCCUUGAACUCCAAGUUGGUGGUGAAGAAGCCUAUCAAACUUUCCUAAAUGUCAUUGAAGAGUUUAAUGAGUACAUGAAGCCCUUUGAGGACAAGGUUUUAGGUGAUGUCAAGGUGUGCCCAACGAAAGGUAAUGUCGUGUUUUCAUCUGGGCUCUACGGAUGGGGAUUUACAUUGUCAAAUAUCGCGAAAAUAUACGCGUCUAUAUCUGGUGUCGAUGAGUCGACGUGGAUGAGAAAACUUUGGGGUGAGAACUAUUAUGACUCGAAAACCAAAGCGUGGACCACAAAGAGUACAGGAUCUGCAACUUGCACACGUGGGUUUGUUAAGUUCUGUUAUGAACCCAUUAAGAAGGUAAUUGAGGCAAUUAUGAAUGACCAGAAGGAUCAAUUACGUGGUAUGUUGACUCAAAUCGGUGUCACGAUGAAUAAUGAAGAGGAUGAGUUGAUGGGUGAGGCAUUGAUGAAAUGCAUCAUGCAGAAAUGGCUUCCGAUUGCAACUCCUUUACUUGAAAUGAUGAUAUUUCAUUUGCCUUCACCCCAGACUGCUCAAAGAUACCGGGUUGAAAAUCUAUAUAAAGGCCCUUUGGAUGAUCCGUAUGCUACUGCUAUAAGAAAUUGUGAUCCCGAUGGCCCUCUCAUGCUCUAUGUAUCGAAAAUGAUUCCUACAUCCGAUGACAAGAGUCGGUUUUUUGCUUUAGGUCGGGUUUUCGCAGGUCGGAUUUCAGCUGGUUUGAAUGUCAGGAUCAUGGGUUCUAGGCCUUCUGGCUAUGUCGACGGUGAAGACAAGGAUAUGUAUGUUGAAAGUGUUGAAAGAACCGCUAUUUGUAUGGGGAAAAAACAAGAAACCAUUAAAGAUGUUCCAUGUGGAAAUACAGUCGCGUUGUUUGGUUUGGAUGAAUUCAUCACCACCGGAAGUGCAACACUAACACAUGAGAAAGAAACCGAGGCGUACCCGAUUUGCGGCAUGAAGUUCUCGGUGUCCCCGGUUGUCCGUGUUAUAGUACAGUGUAAGGUUGAAUCCGAACUCCCAAAACUUCUUAAGGGUUUAAGGAGUCUGGCCAAAUCCGACCCUUUGGUUGGGUACACGCGUGAAGAAUCUGGCGAUUAUACUAUUGGUGUUGUGGGGGAAAUGAAUUUGGCAAUAUGUUCGAAGGAUUUGGCGGAAGAUUAUAUGGGUGGGGUGGAAAUCCUUGUUUCCGACCCUUUUGUGUCGUUAUAUGAAACUGUUGUUGAGAAAUCCUCACAUCUGGUUAUGACUAAGUCUCGAAAUGGAAAUAACCAAUUGUUCAUGAAAGCAAGAUCACUUGAUGAUAGUUUAGGUUACGCGAUAGAAAUUGGGGAAGUUGGUCCGUUUGACGACCCAGACGUUCGUGGAAGGAUUCUCUCUGAAGAAUACGGUUUGGAAAAAUAUCUCGGAAAGAAUAUCUGGUGUUUCGGUCCCGAAACAAAUGGGCAAAACAUGGUUGUCGAUAUGUGUAAGGAAGAUAAGUCCUUGAAAGAAAUUGAAGAUUAUAUUGUUGCUGGUUUUCAGGAGGCAUCUAAAAAAGGUGCUUUAGCUAAUGAGCCAAUGAAGUGUAUAUCUUUUGAGGUGCGUGAUGCGGUACUUCAUGAUGAUGCGUCCCACCUUGAUGGAAGCGAGAUGGUCGAGGCUGCCAAGCGUGCGAUAUACGCGUCUCAACUGACUGCGCAACCGCGGUUUAUGCAACCGUAUUACGUGGUUGAGUUUCAAGCAUCAUCUGAAGAAGAGGUUGACAAGAGCUGCAAAUUGGUGAGAAAAAGGGGUGGAUUUGUGCAUGAAAAGAAAAAAGUUAAUAGGCCGGGGAAAAUGGUGUAUGACAUAUGGGCAUAUGUUCCUGUGCUAAAGUCCUUUGGAUUUUCAGCUGAUUUGGAGGAGGCUACUUCGGUGAAGCUUAUCCCACAAUGUGUGUUCGAAUUUUGGUCUGUGAUGCGUUCGGACCCGUUGGAGGUUGGUUCAUAUGCGCAUGCGCUUAUGACCCAAAUUCGCAAGAGGAAAGGACUAAACGAGCAGAUGACACCGUUGUCUGACUUUGAGGACAAGUUGUAAGCAGGCGUGAACCCUUGCAGUAGCAUAUCGGGUUUAAAUUUUUUUAAAAAUCAUCGUUUAUUUAUUUGUUUGUUUUAGCAUCCUACUUUCAUUUUUCUAUUUAUUACUAGAUUAUUAAAGCAUUAUACUUUGAACGAUUUACCUAGUUAUAGCCGUGAAAAUUACUUUAUGUUUGAAUGACAUUUGUUAUAAUUGGUUAGAUUUAAGUUUGUAUACACUCAAAAAAUUGGUUGCUACUUUUGUUGUUUUCUCUAAUUACUUGAUUGCUAUUAUAUAUGUGGAUGGUUCCUGUUAAAAAUUGGUGUUACUUCACUCUCAUUUCUCCUUUGGUCAGGUGUUCAUUCACUUAUGUUUCAUUUAUCUGAAUUUUUCUUUCUUUAUUUUGUACUUUGAUUAAUAUUAUAGAGUAAGAAAGAUGAAAAUAUGAACUGAUUUCGUUAGACUGAAAGUUUACACCAUCUAACAUCUUUAUAAAACUUGUGUAAGUAACAGAGAAGACAACAAACUGUAAUAACAAAUUCUAACUAACUGAUUUUUUAUAAUCCAAUCGUAUCUCGUGUGACAAAGGACUAUAUUUUGUAGAUAUUAAUGUUAAAACAAUGUUUUAUAUCCUUGAAUUUUAGAAGAUUUUUUCAUUUUGUUCAAAACAAAUAACAUGUUUAUUAGUUUAGGUUGUUCAAAUAACAACUUAUAUGUAUCAAGAGUUUGAUGAUCAUUCAACUUUAUCCAUGAAUUUUUGGUCCCAGUUAGAAAAAUAGGAUAUCCUGUAAUCAGAAAGAAACAAAAAAAAUACACAUUGCUAUUUUCAUUUUUGGUCCCUCUUAAGUGUUACAACUCCAUAGUUACUUAAACAAGGUCUAUAUCAGUUAAUUCUUUUAGAUAGGGAUACAAAACAAAUUUUCAUUGUAGUUGUUGGUUAUAAUUUUCAAAGUAGAAUGUCAUUGUAAGAAAAUAAGUUAAAGUACAAUGCCAUGAUUGGAUGCAUUUUGCAAUUUGUGUCCUUAUUUUGUUAUUUCAUAAGGAUUUUGGUUUAUGAAUGAAAAUAGGAUCCUGUAAUCAGAAAAUAAUAUUAAAGUACAUUGUUGUCAUUAUAAAAACAUACUUUCAUUUAGUGGUUGAUUAUAACACUGUACUUUCAUGUGUAUGUCUUUUGCUGAAAAAUGACUAAAUACUUGCAAAUGUAUGUUGUGUUUAGCAUGAAAACGGUGCUGGAACACAUAAUAAGGACCAAAAAUGCGAAUCUUUUUUCUAUACCAGCAAAUUUUCAGUUGCAACCCUUGGAAUAUUUGUAGGUAUUCUCUUUUUAAAUAGUCCUUAUAAAAAAAAUUACAACAUAUUUUUUUCGUGUUUCAGUUUUCUAGCAAAAUUGGCAAGUUCUAUGUUCUCAGGUAAAAAAUGAUCAAAACGGUUCUCAAAACUCAUGGAAAGAAAAAAGUCCAUAAGAGAACUAAAAUUCGAAAAAAAAUGUCCAAAUCGGCAAUUGCUACUUUUCUCUUUUCUGAAAAAAAAAUGACACAUUUCUGUUAUCUACAAAAAAGACCAACUUGCCACUUUUUGUUUUUGGAUAAAUGACCAAAUUGCUACUUUUCUAUUUGCUUUUUAACAAAAGCACCAAACAAACACUUUAUUUCAAGAUUCUUUUAAGUAGGUUACUAUUUUUGACAGAUUUUGAAGUUGGGAAUCUGUUAAAUAGCAUCCUACUUUGAGAUUGUGCAGUUUCACAUGUAUUUACCAUUUUCUAGUUUUACAUGUUUUUGUCAUUAUCCAUUUUUACCGUUUUUUGCUUCUAUUUUCAUUUUCAUCAUGAUAAGGAUAAAGAGGGUAUUCACAUCUUUUCCGCAUAUUAGAGAUAGAGAGCAAGUUGCCUCACCUUUUGAGUGAGAAAUAUUGUAAAUCUUUUUCUCUUCACAUAAGUCCCGAUCUCAAUCCAAUAACGCUUGUACAACUAUCAAUGCAUGAUGUACACACCACCAAAGAAAUAUUAUUGCGAGAUAUGUAUUUUUUACUUACGUAUUUUUGUUCAUUUUUUCAGAUUUAGUUGUAUACAAAGAAGUGCUUGCAAGGUUAUGGUUAAUUGUUUAUUAUUAUUAUUAUUAUUAUUAUUAUUAUUAUUAUUAUUAUUAUUAUUAUUAUUUUAACUUGUCACCCCGUAUAGUGAGUUUUAAUAUAGUUUUUUAAUGUAUAAAGAUCUAAAUGUUUGGAUGUGUUCAAAAACUUUUUGUAUCUUGUCUUUUUGUAAAUUGACAUAUCAUCUAUUAGAAGUUUAAACGUUUUUUAUUAUGCAAAAGUUCAUAUGUUUAAAAAAAAUGGAAUGUCAUUUAAAUUAGGAAAAGUUUUUUUUUUCACAUAAUAAAUAAAGAUGAAUAUUAAUUUGGUUGGUGUAUUCAUUUCUAGGUCGUUAAGCCUUAAAACUAUUAUAGUACCAUUCAAACAAACUACAUCCUCAACUUCGUUUUGAUUUAGUCGAACAUUUUUGGUCAAGUAAUGACCACGUGUGAAUAUCUUAUUAUUUUAAAUAUUAUAAUACAUUAGUGCUUAAUAUAUUAAUUAUGUUUUGUAUAUUUUACUUUACUUCUAUAAAGAAAACUAUAUAUAGUUAUAAACUAUUUAUUAUUUUAUUUUAGAUAUAGUAGAUUGUUUAAUAUUAAAUUAUUUGAAAAUUAUGAUUGAAAUUGUGAGACUAUAAAAAAAAUUAUAAGAAGCUUUUUGUGUAGGUGAUUGAUGAUGAUCUGACAUCAAAACAACACUGAAAAGCUUUAUGAAAAAUUCUUCAUAUUAUGGGUGAUGUAAUUAUAACUUGACAAAACUUCAAAAAUGGUCCUGCGGUUUUCGAAAAUAUCAAGUUUAGUUCUAAUUAAGUUCAAAAAACCUCACAGAUGGUUCCUGUGGUUUCAAAACUUUUAACAAAUGAUCUUUUUUGCUAACUCGGUUAACAUUUAGCCAUUAAUUGAAUGGCAUUUCUGUCAUUUCACAACCACAAUGACCAUUUAUGAAGUUUUGCCUUAAUUUUUUAAUAAAAAAGAAAAAAUAAAUAUAAUUAUUUAAUAUUAAACACCUCUCUCUCUCUCUCUCUUUCUCUUGUGAAUCAAAUCAUUCUUCGUUGCCCCCACCAUCGCAUCAUUCCUCACCGUUUGUCACCACCAAAUUCUACCACCGGUUCCUCUGGUAAACACUCUGGUCUGCAUCCCAUCCUUCUCUUCCUCCCUAAAAGUUCACCAAGAAACGGGUUCUCCGUUUUAGUCACCGGAGCAAACAUGAAAUCGAUUAGCAACCCCAAUGAAAUCAUUCAUAAAAUCAAGAAACAGGUUCUCCGUUUUAGUCACCGGAGCAACCAGAAGACGAAAUGGGGACAUCCCUCCUCCACCCCUCCUCAUGUUGAUCGGAAACAACCAAACACCCCUGAGGAUCGUUGCUUCCCUCCGCUGCUACUUCAUUGUUUCCUUCCCUUCCUCCUUCGUGUUUUUCCAAUGGAACAGAUAAGGAACGACCAAGGAGGCCACCAGAGCAACCCCCUUGCUAUAACAGUCACCCAACAUCAUAAGUUGCCUUCGUUUUCUUCCUUCAUUUUGGCGAUUGUCCAAAUCCCCCACCGAACCACCUCUGCUUCCAUUCUUCUUUCUCCAUUCGAUCUAGUGUUUCCCAUUCCCCUCGAUUUGUGAUCGCCGACGACGAGAGAAGAGCCAAGGGGAGUUUGUCGGAAAUCGACUCCCUUUUGCGAUCUAUUUAACCAUCAGACCACCAUUUGGACUGCUUCCAUCCGUGUUCCUUCUUCCCUUUCCCGAUCAAUGAAGAAGAGGCGUAAACCAACAAGGGGUUAUCGGUCUCAACGUACACCCUUUUCCCUCCUCGUGAUUUCCCAGCCGCACCGGACCUCCCAUCGAUCUGCCUUUCGUUCGUCUAUUCCUUGCCCAAUCUGAUGGAUACAAUGAUUAUUCAAGGUCAAAGUUGGUUUGGCUUUUUGGAGAAGAUGAAGCUAUAAGAAUACGUAUUGUACAAGUCUCAAAGCAAUAAGGAGAGAGAGAGAGAGAGAGAGAGAGAGAGAGAUCAAAUUUCUUUCAUUUUUUCUUUUUUUUUAUAAAAAAAUUAAGAUAAUAAGAGAAAACCUCAUAAAUGGUCCCCGGAUAUUUGAAACCACAUGGACCAUCUAUGAGGUUUUUUGAACUUAGGGACUAAACUUGAUAUUUUCAGAAACCACAGGGACCAUCUUUAAAGUUUUGCUUAUAACUUUGGUUCUUUAAUAAAUACUUUUUGUACCGAGGGAACAAAAUAUGAAAAUUUUAAAACGGUAUUUGGGCGUUUUGCGUGAGCUGUUCGAGAUGAGUCUCAUACUCUCAUAUACAAAAGUGGGGAUUAGAGCUAUCUCAAUAAAGUCUAUGAUUGGUUUGAAGAACGUCUUAAGAUUUUACAGAUGAUAAAACUAGUAGAUCUGUUCCUCCUCAUGUAAAUAUAUUUUAUUGUAUAGGAGAGGAUUACACUUACUUGUUUUUUUUGUCCAACUGGCUACAGGAUUUGAUAUGACCUUUUACUAUCGUCCCCAAAAAAGAGACAAGUGUGGGGUGCAAAUUUUGGAAACCACCACCUAAUUUGGAACUAAACACAAAUCAAUUUCUUUUAUAUUUGAUUAUUUUCAUGGUCAUAAAUACAUACUUUUAUAGAUUAUAAUUUACUAUUUGUUGUUGAAUGUAGAAAAAGAAUCAAAAAUUGGAUUGUUUAACAUACAAAUAACAUAAUUAUAAAAAUAUUAGACUUUGUUAAACUUCAGGUAAAUGGAAAACUUACUUUAAAGCGUAAUGAAGUUUCCACAAUGUUCAAAAAAUGCCGCACUUUUUGUUAACUGCGUUGUUUUCAGAUUGUGUAAAACACUGUCAGAUCAUACACCGUCAUAUCAGUUCAUAACAGUUUUUAAAUUUCUUUCAUUCCCUCACUAGGUCGUUUUUGUGGUAACAUGAGAAGUAAGUGGGUAAUAACCUUAGUUAAGGAUUAUUGCUUCCCGAUGACAUUAUAUGCCUCAAACUUAAAACAUAUAUUCGUUAUAUAGAUACAUAUAUUAUAAAUCAAGGUUAGUCAUUCAUUAGUGUUGCGGCACAAGAAAGACACAAAGGAGAAACGAGUGUGGCGUUAUGUCAUGAGAAUUCCUAAAUAUGAAUGUAGAGAGUAAAUGCGUUUAAUUCUCAUGGACCAGUGAGAGAUGAAUGACCAGGAACACUCAGCAUCAUGUGGUUGAUUUGAUGACAAUUUGUAGUCAAAGUAGAGAAAGAAGCAUAUGUAUUGGAGCGCUUGAAUGCAAGAUUGGAGCGCUUGAACGCUUGCAUCAUAUAUAAUUGAUGGAUUCUUAGUUAUGUGUUUUUCUAUGAUUGUACUUAGAUACAAACUGAUCGAGUGAGGUAAUGAAAGAGAGUACACAACUGGUGUGAACUGGUACGACGAUGAAUAAUAUCCGAUCACCGUGUUCUAUAUAAUCUGGAAACAACGAAGUUGACAAAAGUUGCUCUGAAAAAACAACAAUGGUAUUUUUUUAAAACAUUUUUGAAACUUCUAUAGUAUUUAUUGUACUAAAAUGUGUACUUCGUUAAUAUUCUUCGUACAAAUGGUAUACUUAAGGGUAUUUUUUGUACUUAAAAAACAAUGGUAAUUUUAAAACAUGUUGGAAACUUCAUUUUAAAUUGUUUUUUCGUUUACCUAUAAUAACCGGUUACCAAAAUGUUUUAUUUGAAUACAUAUGUCCUUAUUAUGUGUACAAAAAAAAUAUACUUUAAUAAUAUUUUGUAUACUAAAGAAUUUUUUUUGUAUAUUUUUAAAACUUCCUUACCUUUUUAAGUAAUUUUCCAAAAAAAUAAAAAAUCUGUAAUAAAGAGGGCUAGUGGGUGGUGAUUUUUGCAAUUCAGAACCCAUAUCUUCCAUCACCACCACCACCAAACUCUUAGAAUCCACAAUUGUCGUCACCUCCUACCCAUAAAACUCGAUACAACCCCACUUUUUUUCAAUAGGAUGUGACUUACACAUGACCUGUAACUGAAAAUGGCAGGGAUGUUGAACCUCGUUCUAGUUUGAAGCUCAAUAUCCGAGAAUGUCAAAGCCAUUUUUGGCGUCAAAUCAGACUUGGUUGUGAUAGGUUAUAUUAUCCUUUCUUCCACAGGAGCUUCUGUUUUUCCAGAUACUACCAAGGCUUCCGGUGAAAGCUCUACCCAAUGUUAUGUGUGUUUGCAAGAAAUGGUACUUGUUCCUAAAAUCAGGUAAUUUUGGCACCACCUACCACCACCACGUAACCACCAACGACGACCAUGAAAACCACCACAAACAUCUCAUCUUAACUUACACCGAUGGAUCAAGGUUCUGUAGCAUCGACUGUGAAACACCUAAUGAUGGUUUAACGGCGGGUCUUCGUUUACCAUUACCUUACUCAUAUAUCGACAAAAUGGUGGUUUUGACAUCUUUGCAUGGACUAUUAUGCGUAGGCACAGGCAAUUGCAAAUCCCAAUAUUCUGACAAUUCUUCUGGUCUACUUUUAUGGAAUCCUUUGACAGAUGAAUAUAAGAAUUUGUCUAAUAAGGGUUGUCAUGAUAAAGAAUGUUACACGAACAUUGAACAGGGUAUAUUUGGGUUGUAUUAUGUAUCUUCUCUUGACGACUACAGGAUUCUACGUGUAACCUAUUAUCCUAGUAUUUAUAUUUAUAUAUACUCAUUAAAAUCCGACUCAUGGAGAAAGGUCGAGUCUACACAGAACUUCCUACAAAGUGCUUCCAACUGGGCUUCACUUGCAUGUAAGCAGGAGCAUCCAAGUCAAAUUCUAUUGAAUGAAAAACUCUAUUUCUUAAAACAAGUCAAUUAUCUAGGACGAGGAACUUUGAUUAAGUCGUAUUCAGUUAUGAGGUUCCACACAAAGACCGAAGAGUUCACAGAGAUAGCAAUGCCCUCUUUCGGAAACCAAAUGACAAGGUGUUUGGGAUUCAUGGUUCUAAGAGGAUGCAUCCACUUCUGUGUUGUCAUUCUCAUUGGGAAAGAAAAUGAUAUAGCAAACCGACGAUGUUCUGAAAUGAUUGAGUUAUGGAGAAUGGAUGGAGAUAAAGAUUGGACGAAGGUGUUAACUUAUGGCCCGAUGUCGUUUUCUCUUUUGGGUGGGUCGAUAUUGCACUUUAUGAGAAAUGGAAAUUUGCUCCUUCAAAAUGAAGGUAAUGUUUACGUAUUCGAUAUGAAGAAGGAUACCAAAGAAAUUGUGUUUACAUGUCACCCAAUCAAUCCACCAAAUAUGUAUGAAGCACACCAAAGAAGAAUGGAUUGCGAUAUCCCUCCACUAGGGAAAUACAUCGAGACUGCUACUGUGUCACCCAAUCGUUACCCCCUACAUGUAUGUAGUAACUCCAUCAUACUCAUCUUUAAACGUAAUCAUUUCCUCUUUUAUUAGUUUUAUAUAGUAUUUUUUUCGUUAUAUUGCACGACUCAUAUAUAGACUCAUAGAUUGGAUUGGUGAAUAAUUAAUUUUAAGACAAUUAUGACAGUAUUCUUCUUCGUCCUAUUGUAUUUAAAAUAUUUUCAUACAUCAUACUAAAAUUUUAAAACCAAAAAAGCAUAUGUAGAUUGCAGAAAUACGUUUAUAUAAUAGUUUUCUUACUUGCUUUUAGUACAAUAAUAAUGUUGUUUUGGUAAAUUGUAGGAUGCAUAUGAGAGAGGUAUGAUUGAUAAGUAUGGGGAGGACAUACUUGAACACACAGGAAAUGAUGUUGAGUUGUGGGCGCUAAGUCAAGGAGGUAGAAAGGAUCAUCAUCUUUAUGGGAUAGGAUCGACUGAUCAUGAUUUCACAAUGACACGGACACCAUCGUAUGGGUAUUCCAUGGUCUCCAUUGAGUAUGUACAUUCACAGCUGCAGGUAUACUUAUAUAAUAAAUAUAUUGUGUUGUUAUAAAAAGUAUGAUGCUAUUAUAUACAAAAAAAAAUGAUGCCUAUAUUAGUAAAAGAAUAUAGUAUGUUUUUAUUUUAGAUAAAAAAANAAAAAAAAAAAAAAAAAAAAAAAAAAAAAAAAAAAAAAGGAAAAGUACAUUUUUAUUAUGUAAGUAGAUCUACAUUGUUAGAAAGAAUAUAGUAUGUUUCUAUUAUGUAUAAAAGAUGAAGUCUAUUCUAUUAUGGAUAAAAACAUAGAAUACAUUGCUAUUAUGAAUAAAUUAAAAGUAAUGUAUAUUCUUAUUGUGGAUAAAAAUAAAUAAAUACGAUUAUGUUUCUGUUAUGGAUAAAAAAAUAAAGUAUUUUGUAUAAUGUAUUAAAAUAAAGUAUAUAUUGCUAAUAUUGGCUAAAACUUAAAAUAUAUUGCUAUUAUGGAUAACAAUGUAAGUAUAUUUUCUAUAUUGGUAAAAUAAACAUAUUAUGUUGUUAACAUGGUUAAAAAAUAUAAUAAUUUACUCUAUUAAAAUUUACAAUUAUAUGGCAAAAAUAAAGUGUUGUUGUCGAUAUCACCAAAAGUAAAGUACAUUACUCGUACGUAUUAAAAUAAAGAUUGUUACUAUCAUGGAUAAAACCAAAAAUAUUUUGGUAUUUUAGAUAAACAAACUAUAAGUACAUUUCCUUAUAUUGGUAAACAAGAAAAGUAUGUUGCUAUUAUGGAUCAUAAAUAGUGUAUGUGGCUAUAAUGAAUUAAACAUGUUAAGAGAUAUAGAUUGUUUUAAUAAUUAAAAAGUGUUUAUUCAAUAAUUAUAUAUUAUUAUUUUUAACAUUUUUUAGAUACGGGACUUGCAAAUCCAGAUGGAAGUGGAACGAAAAGCACGAGAAGACUUACAAGAUCGAAUAGAAACUGAACGAAAAUCACGAGAAACGAUGCAAGCACAAAUAUCAGAACUUAUGAUACGAUUUGGUAACCAUCGUGGAAAUCCACCAAAUUGAUCCUAGUUUUUUAUAUUUGUUAUUUUAGAAACUUGUUAAACACUUGUCUUUUAUUAUAUUUGUGGUUUAGACGUUUAUUAAAACUUAUGUUUUAUUGUAUAAGUUUAAGAUUUAUAUUUACCAAUGUUGUAAAACUUGAGAUCAUAACUAAGAUCGUUUUACAUUCUUAAUGAUCAUGAUCGUAAGAUCGAAUCAGUAUCCAAAGAUCCUACAAAAUGAACUAGUCUCCAAAUUUGCUUGUAAUCUCUUGUUUAUGUAGUACCAAUUUACUCAUCAAUGAUGGAAUAAAAAAUUAUUUUUUAGCCAUGAAUCAUAAAUUUGGAUGCUACAAACCGCAAAAAUUAUUGAUAAAACAUUAAUUUUAAGCAUAACAAGAAUUAAGAUCAUAAUGACCAUAUACAACUAAAGACAUAAGAUCACAAAUGGAAUAACAUUGAUACUCUGCUUAAUUCAAGAUGAAGUGGUGAUGCUUUAUGAGACUUCUUGUGACAUGAGAUAUUUGAUUUCAAGUUGAGUACGACUUUUUGAGGCUUAACUAUAUAAUAAAGAAUAAAACGUUAGAAUCAUGCCGAAUUAAGAUCUUGUGACUAUUCUUCAUAAUGCUCUUUUUUUUAAUCAUCUAUAAUAUUAUUGAACGUCUUGUUUUUAUCAUUAUUUAUAAUGCUCGUCAAAUGGUCAUGAACAUUGAUUUUAUAUUUUUACUCGAACUAGAAAUAGAAUAAGUUACUCGUCGAUAAUAAAUGUACAUAUCUACGAAAAUUACUUGUUUGCAACUAAAUGAUUUUUAUUUCAAAUAUGUAAAUACCUAUUAAGUUUAUCAUUUUUGAUCCAAAAGAAGUAUUGAGAGAUUAUAAAGCAUGAUAUCAUGGGGUUUAUGAUAUUCUUUUAGCAUGGUCGAAUUCUUAAUGGGUGUAAUUCUUUCCUUCUUACUCUAAUUUUUAUGACUGACUGCCCGACUCUAGUUGCUGGUUAUCGGUCCAUAAACCUCCAUAGUUGUCAAUACAAAAUCUUAGAUAAGAUCCUUAUGAAUUGGUUAAGGUGGUAGAUGUAGUUGUAAGUAUGGUGGAGUCUACCUCUAUCAAAGGAAAGCAAAUCUUAGAUGGUAUGUGAAUUAUGAAUAAGAUCAUUCAAUGGUUCAAGAAGAUAAAGAAACAAUUACUAGUUUUGAAGAUUGAGUUUGCUAAGGAUUACGAUUUACUAAAAUUGGAUUAUUUGCUUUGUGAUUAUGUAGUUUAUGGGGUUUGGUAAUUAAUGGUGUGCUUGAAUAAGGGCAUGUUUGAAGUCGACUAGGGCUUUUAUUGUAACACCUGUGUCCUCAUGUAUGAUUUCUAAUACUUAACUUUGCCAUUUAUGCAAUUUGGGUGUCCUAUGUUGGGCGUAGGAUAACCUCCCAUGGUGGCCAUAUGCAAAAGAUUCCAUGCAAGGGUUAUAAUGAUCUACGCUGAGCAUAGAGAUACCUACAUUGGGCGUAGGAACACAACAUCUAAACCAUAAUUAAAGGGUUGUAAGCCCUAUUUAAAGGCUCUAACUCUUGAGGACCUCCUCAUGAUCAACCCCCAUCCUCAAAUUCGGUGACCUAGAAACCCUAGUUAUCUUGUGAGAGUUUUAGAGCCUUAGUGUUUUUUUGUGUGCAUUCUUGAAGAAGGAAUUCAUUCGAUAAAAAAUUGUGAGCUCCAAGCUUUGUAGAUCCAUACAUUGCACUUCAUCAUCCACCUUCAGGAGGUAUAAAGGUUACAUAUUGAUGUCCCUUUAUGAUAGACCUAGUUAGCUCUUGAGUUUUUAUGCUUUUUGUUCGCUAACUUUGGUCAUUAUGAGUAUGAGCUACUGAAACCUUAUGAGUAUCAUUUCCAAUCAUUUCUGGACUUUUAGAGUCAUAAAAAUGGGAGUUUGGUCACUCUCAUCCAUCCAUGCAUGAGCUCUUGAGCAUUAGAGUGUUUAUGGACUCAGGAUUUGGUCUUGUGAUCUUUUAAGGCAUGCAAAGGUAUAAAGUCAGAGACUCUACCACUUAGGAUGUUCAUUAGGUCCAGACCUAAGAAUUGGAUGUUUAGUCCUUAGUAUUAAGAGCUUAAUAUGAUGUUGGUAAAUCAACGUAUCUAUGUUGGGCAUAAUCUUGGCUACGCUCAGCGUAGCUUGGUAAUGCCCUGUUUCCCAUCAGAGGCUCUACGUUGGGCAUAGAGCAUGGUGUUAUGUUGGGCGUAGAACUAGAAGGUUAAUUUUGACAAAAUGGAUAUUAGGUCAAGUGGAGUGGGUUCUAAUCUUAGAAGGAUAAAAUGGUAUUUUACCCCCAAGUAGAUAAACUACAAACCAAGACCCUCGAGUGUGGAUUAUUAUCUUAAUUUUUGGUUAGGUUCUUAUUAUGUAUAUGAUUUGUGUAGGGAGUUCUACAAGCUCUUUGUGAAUCCUUACUCCUUCUUUAAGCUCCUUUCUCUUCCAAAGCACCAAAACUACACCAAGAUACUCUCAAAUGGCUUCCAAAUCACAAGGACACACAAAUAUGGGUUAGGUUUUUCGUGGUGGCUGCAUAGAGAUGAGAUGGAGGCUAGACCAAAGGCAUAAGUCCUUUAUAUAGGGAUCAAACCCUAAAAGUUAGGGUUUUAGAACAUGCGCGUAUGUUGCGCGUAUGUUACGCGUACCCUUUGGUACACUAGGAGUACGUGCAUGGCCUCCCCGCCCCAUCUUCUUGAGUACGUUGCGCAUACCUGGCAUGGUACGCCCCGCGUAAUGCCUUUCUCAGCCCAAAGCUUAAGGCCCAACUAUCUUUUCCCAAACCAACAACAACCCAUUGUUCAAUAAAAUAAAUAAUAUUAAUAGCUGCAAAUCCCGGAUGUUACACAUUUAGUUACUUUGUUUAUUCCAUUAUACUUAUUAAUGAGAAUUAAGUGUCCUAUCAAACCCGUUUGGCUAACGACCCUCCACCAAUCAAGGGAGCAGUAGGUAAUAGUGGAUACCCAAUGGCGAUCAUAUUGUAAGCCGCUUCCUUAAACUCCCAUUAUAGAUCAACUUCGUGAAUGAGGCAUACUAGCAGUUCGACUGACUUUUCUUAUACAUAUAGUAAAUAUUUAAACUUUUAAUAUUACAUAUAGUGUAAGGGUGUAUUGUAAACUUUUAAAAAUACUAAGGUUUUAAAUUUUCGAAAAUUAAAACAAUUUUAAUUUAAAGUUAAAAAGUUUUUUUUUUAAACUAUGAUUUAAUUAUCCUUUAAUUAAAUUAUUAAAUCAAUUAAAGAUUAUCUAUUAAAAAAAUGAUUUAACUUAAUCCCUAUCCUCAAAUUUUCGAAAAACAUAAAUGCCAUAUUUAAACUUUCAAAAUUAAUAUUCAAUUAAUUUAAAUCAAAAAUACAACCAAUUAUCAAUUUUAGAUAAGGAUAUCCAAUUACAAUUUUAAAAUAUUCAGAUUUACUCAAUUAAACAAUAUUAUAAAAGGUAAUUAUCCUAAUCAAAUUAAAAGAUAAUUAAAAAUCAAAAUUUUUAGGAUCUAACAGCUCAACACGUUAUGGUGAGCAAUCAGCACGUCGUGUUGGGUCGAAUCUGUAGGCCAACACAUCGUGUAGCAAGAACUGCACGGCGAGUUGGAUGAACAGAAAGCAGAUUCCAAAAAAAUUUGUGUUCAAUCAAUUGCAUCAAAUCUAAUUGAAAACACAACCAAUAACUCUGAUACCACUGAUGGGUUUUGUGCAUACAAACAAUCUUAUGUGUGCAUGCAACCCUAAAUAAUUGGAUCUAGGUUUUCUCUAUUAGACAUACAAGCAUUGAACACAAAAACUAGAAACUCUAGGAGGCAUGUACGAUUUUCGAAAUUAACAUAAAACUAGGUUUUAGAUACAUACCUUUAUUGUUAUGUAGUAAUAACAAUGAUUCCUUUGAAGAUCUUGACUUUGAGAACAAGUGCCACAAAUAUAACACCUCUAAUGGCUCACAAACACACCAAGGCAAGAGGAUGAUUAUGAGAGAGAGGAGAGAGUAGGGAGGCAUUCAAAGUUUUGGCUUUUCUAGUGUUUCUUUGGAUGGCUGAAAUCUAAAGGGGGCGAUCCUCCUUUUAUAGUCAAGGUUGCUUAGUCCCAAAGCUAGGGUUUUUAGGUGGAAACCUUAAUUCCCAGCUUAAGGCCUAAGCAGCCCAUGGAUCCCCCUCCCAAAGGCCAUGGAUGAAAAUCCUUAAGGCAUUCCUAAGAUUUUCGGUCAACCCUCUAUAGGGUGAUCCAAGAGCCCAAACCACAACUAUUAAUUAAUUGCAAAAUAGCCCCUGAACUUUUAAUUAAUUCAUUUAAUCCCAAAAUUAAUUCCAAAUUAAUUUCUGAUUAAAUAUUAAUUAAUAAUAUGACUUCUAAUUAAUAUAUUAUUUCCAUAAUAUAUUAAUAAAUCAUUUAUUUCAAUUUAUUAAUCAAAUUAAUAAAUUCUUCAUCUUCCUCAAUUAAUCAUCAUGUCUAGUAGCCUGUGUGAAGGCAACUCAAAAGGACAAUGCUACUAUCAAUUCAAGUACAUACCAAAUAUAGUUAUGGGCUUAGACACCUAAUCCAAUAUCAGUUUAUUGUUUCAGGUACUCCAAAGGAUCAUGGGAAAGUGAAGGCGUGAUAGUGCACAUCUUCCUGUAUUUAUGACAUUGGAUCUUGGGAUACUUUGAUUUUGAAUAAUAAUUUGAAACAUUGGUUUUAUAAACACUUUAUGGAAGAAAAUUGGUUGUUUUGAAAAGUUUAAAUUUAUUGUGGUUUUUGGAUGUUGCAAAUUAAGUAAUUGUUUGUUAAUGAUUAACAAAACAAACUAGGUCAAGUCAUUAAUUGAAUGAUGUCUUAAAAGUAUCCACUAAAAGUUAACUGCUAUAAAAUCCCCUAAAAGGAUAAGCUAGAAGGAAUGGUUAAUCUUGUUCGUGGUUUGAGAAUAGCUCUCUUAAACAUAAAGAAAGAUCGUACAUUUAGGAAGGAUCAAGUAUCAAAUAUACUUAGUACAUCGAUAACAUUGAUCCAACAUGGAACUCCAUCAAGUUAGGAGUUGAUUAUGGAAACAUAACCGACUUGCUAACCUAGGCAUAUAAUCAGGUGAUUCUGAUUUGAUAUAAAUAAAAACUUUGAAAUGUCUAUCCUAGCAAAUGUUAAGUGUACAAAUUGAAGUAAUAUGGUGGCUGCUCUUGAUCACAUUCCACCGGUUCAAAGGCGAUGUGCUCCGAUUACCACCAUGGCUACAUCCUCUGACGCCAAUCCCCUCCUUAUCUUGUUGAUUCCUCUUUGCCCCUUCUAAUGUUGGAAUAUCCCUCUUCUUGUAUAAAUAAAAUCCUUUACACCAUCAACAUACACAAUAAAGAUAAUAAAGAUGAUCUCAUGCUUACCAAUUUUGAUGUUCCCGCUCACUAGUGUCUUAACGAAAACCAAAUCAGGGUUCAAGGUUAACCUAUAUACAAUGUUCAAAAUUGUUUUUACUUAAAGUAUUUGUGUUCUUGGUCUGAUAUCAAUUCUCAUAAAAUUAUCCAUAAAUAGUUCGGGUGAAGUGCAACCUAAAUGGACCAUGUUGGGUCGGGUCAAGUAUAUACCAAAUAAGUUAUGGACUUAGACACCUUAUCCAACAUAUAUAUAUAUAUAUAUUUAUGUCGACAUAUGGAUGGUUGGGUUGAGGCUGCCCGCGAACAAACCAUGUAUGGUUGGGUUGAGACUGGAAGUCAACAUACUUGGUGUUUUGGUAAAAUUACACAAGUACUAAUCAGCCAAAUUGAAUGAGAGGUUGUGAUGUUCAUAUUGUAUAAUGGCAAGUAGUAAAAGAAAAAUGAAACGAUUGUUUACAAGGAAAGCCCUUGAUCCUUGCUAGGAUCUUCGGCAUAAAACAUUGGGAGGUGAUAAUGAUCACCUGUCUUGAUGAUUUUAUUGGUAUAAAGUAAAGAUUACAAUGAGUUCUUAGUAAGAAUGAGUAGAGAAUUUCGUAGAGUAAGCUUAAGCUAAAGAACAGUGUCUUGUGUGCAGAUUACAAGUGUCAAUUUAUAGUCUAAUACAACCAACAAGAUGUCCGAUAUUUUCGGGAUCCUCUAUGACCAGCUUCAUGAACGUUAUUUAACCAAGCAUUCUGGGUCUUUAGUAUAGUUGAGAUGAUUCUUCGUUAAGAAUUGGUCUUCCCUUAACUACUUCUGCACACGUGUUAGUUAAUAGACAAAAUAUGACCGUUAUAAAUAUUGAUAAAAAUAAUAACGGCUACCCUCGCCAUACACCAUAAGUACUCCCCCACUACGGUCUCGUAUAGUCACCAACUGACGCUCGCAGUCGAUAACAGCUCCAAAUCGGCUCAAUCAGUCCAUGCCCACGAUGACACAGACAUCCCCUAUCGCAAUCGAUACCAAAUAUAUCGGGAACUCAACACCGAAAAUCUCGAGUACACAUCCUCGAAUCACAUUGGUAGCAAAAACUGCUCGCUCGUCAGCUAUAGAAACUCGCAGAGGUCGACUCAACGCCUCUCAUUGGAUACUGAUGUGCCGACUAAACGCUAAUGACACGAAAGAUCAACUCGCACCCGAGUCAAAUAACACCAAAGCAGGUAAAGAGUUCACAAGGAAAGUACCUAUGCAUACUACAAUAUAAGCAUAAUAUCUCAAACUCAGUAUAAGUAAAUAAAAGAAUACAUACCAGCCACGACAUCGGGCGCUGCACGGACCUCUUCCGCUGUCAACCGAAAGGCUCUCCCGCAAGCCUUCGGUGCCUUGCCUUCGCUGGCCGGACCUCGGUAGCUCUAGCAGCAGGUGCAGAUCCCUGUGCUGAUCCCUGAAGCAGCUGUGGGCACUCCGCCUUCCGAUGGCCAGUCUGGUUGCAGUGAAAGCAAAUCGUAAACCACUUGGGGUAAUCCCUCGCGAAAUGCCCCUCCUUGCCACACUUGUAGCACACACUCGCUCUACACACCCCCUCAUGGCUCUUGCCGCACUUCCCACAAGUGCGCCCCUUCUGUCCUCCAGAUCUCGAAUCAGCGGGCUUCGCCCGCUUGGCUGCCGGCUGAGACUGGACCGACUGCCUAUCCCUACUCUGAGACUCGGCCUCCUCCCUGGCCUGAGUCUCUAACCCGAUCUCCCUCUUCCGAGCAUUUGCCUGGAGCUCGAAAAAUUUAUGGUAUAUCGAGUUCGCCACGAACUCACAAAUGUCUCUCCUUAGUAUGCUCAGAUAUUGGCUCAUACGUGCCUGAUCAGUCGACACGUGCUCAGGGAAAAUUAACGCCCUCUCAUGAAACAUCCUCGUAAUCACUGUCACAGACUCAGUUCCCUGCUUAAGGGACAAGAACUCCUGGGCCAAACGUUCCCUCUCCACAGGGGGAACAUACUCAUCUCGGAACAUGGUGGUGAACCGCUCCCAAGUCACCGUGGUAAGCUCUACAGUAGUAAAGUCAGCCGUCACAAACUUCCACCAGUCCUUCGCUCCUAAGCGAAGCUGGUUCAGCGCGAACCGUACCCUUAGAUGCUCCGGACAAGAACAUGUGUAGAAGCAUCCCUCAAUGUCAGAGAUCCACCUCAUAGCGGCUAUCGGAUCUUGAGUCCCAUUAAACUCUGAUGGCUUUGUGUUGCUGAACUCCUGGUACAGCAACGAGUCACCCCCCUGUGGCCUAGCAGCGGCGAUGGCUGCGGUGGCCGCAACAACAACAACAUCGGUAAGAGCAGCGUACCGCUCAUCAAAUGUCUCAAUCAACGUGGUCUUGAUAGACCCAAAUGUCUCUGAUAUCUCAGCUCGAAUGGCUGCAACCACCUCAUCAUGAAUCAUCCUGCGAAUUUCAUCAUCGCUAACACUGUUGCUCCCUGGAGUGUGGCACGUACUCACAAUGAUGUCUCCGAAACACAACACAAAAGAAAUCAAAGACUCGCUCAAGUAUUCUCGCACUCGAUCACUCAACCCUACUUGUUCCUUAGUACCCUAAGGAUUCUUACUUGGACUUCUCACUGACCUAGAGUUUCGAGUAGUACGGGCCUUAUACUACCUUCCACACCACAUCAAUAUUCACCCUAAGUCCUCUUCCUAGGAUCCCAUAUCACAAGUACUCUAUAUCUUGCUGAAAGCAGGCUACCUCCAGUAGACCUCUCAUAAGCUCCUCUCUGCUACCUACUCACACUCGAAGUAAUUCACAGUAGCAGUAGCUCCUAGGCUAAGGCAUAAAAAAUCAGGCCACUCUAGUCCUAAUUAUGAAUACCUAGCCUACUCUAGCAUGCAUAACACAUUUCAUAAUAUCUCAUAACACAUAACGUAAGGGUAUUUUGGGAAAUCACCGUUCGGGCGCUGGCUGAUUGACACACUGCUCUUUUCUUCUCUUUUGAAUCUUUUACUAUUUUUAGAAAUCGUUUCUUUUUUAAAACUUUUCUUAAAUCCUCAGUUUGAGUUCAGAAAUGCCCAAAGGUGUAUCCGAAUCCCUCAAACCAAGGCUCUGAUACCAACUUGUAAUGACGCGAAAAUUUAAAACAAUUUUUCAUUUUUCAAACAUAACAUAUCUCAUAUAAAUCAUUUCAAACUCAAGUGUAUCAAUGUUAUCACGGUAAAACAUAUCCCAGAAUCUCAAUUACAAAAUCCUCUGUCAGUGUGUACAAAUCAUGCCGGCACCUUCCCACGAUCCUCGCUAGUACCUGAAACACAUAUCACAUAACAUGGUAAGCAUAAAUGCUUAGUGAGUUCCCCAAAAUACCAUAUACAACACAUAAGCCACUCGAGGUUAUAACUUGGUAAGACCCUCCGGUCAAUGUGUCUCAGUGGGACCCUCCAGUCCCGUAGCUCGUUGGACCCUCCAUGUAACAACUCAAAUUUUUCAAACAAAUUUUUCAUUUUUAAAACAUAAUAUUUUCCAUUAAAACAAGGCAUAAAUAGUUUAAUUAUUCGGUCAAUACAAUUAUUCAAACUCCCAAGAUCCUAAAACAAUCUUCGGUGUGUAUCGAUCAUGCCGGCGCCUUCCCACGGUCCUCGCUAGUACCUGAAAUACAUACAUACACAACAACUGUAAGCAUAAAUGCUUAGUGAGUUCCCCAAUAUACACUUACACACAUACGCCUUUCCAGGCCCUGACCUUCUGGUCCUCAAUACAACGCCUUCCGGCCCAUAACAUAAUCGCCUUCCGGCCCAUAACAUAUUGCCUUCCGGCCCACAUAUCAUACAUAGCACAUAUAACACUUAACUUACCACAUAUAGCAUACAUAUCCAUAUAACACUUAACUUACCACAUAUAGCAUACAUAUCACAUAACAUAUUCGACCUUCCGGUCACACAGUCAAACCCUUCCGGGUACAGUAUAGUGAGAAGACUCACCUCGUAAGUGCUGAAAGCUAGCAACUCCUGAAAUCACUCGCGCACAAACCAACGAGCUACAACCCUCCUAUAACAUUACAUAACUCAUUAACACUCAUAUCAUCUAAGUGUGACUAUCCCUAAGAAGUCAGACUUAGGUCAACUCUGGUCAACGGUCAACGGUCAACUCGACUGGACUCGGCGAGUACCAUGGCGACUCGGCGAGUCUAGUCGUCCUCACAGAUUCCUGAAUAUUCCCUUUCUACUCGUCGAGUAUACCUCUUGACUCGACGAGGUCCUCGUGGAAGAAUCGCGGGGCCACCCCGACUCCACUCGCCGAGUCUGAUGAACAACUCGGCGAGUCCCAGCACAUCUUCAAGCUACUCGCCGAGUCUGAAGAACAACUCGGCGAGUCCAUGCCAUGCAGACGAGUAACUGCUUCCUGAGAUAGGUCUCGUCCCGAAGUACACAUGCAUGGGACCUUCUGGACCUCUAAAGGUCCUAAUACAAGACUAUAAUCGUGGGGUAACAAGGCAUUUCUUCAUCAAAUCACUAAAUGGGUUCUAUAAACCCUAAUUUCAUAAAUACAUCAAAAUAACAGAUUUGGUCCGAGUAUUACCUGAAAACGCACUCUCUGUGUCCCCCAAAUCUCAGGACUCAAUCCUCCUUGAUAUUCCUUUAGCCAAAUCCCUCUUCUUCUUGCCUAACCAAUUCUUCCAAGUUCCAAAGCUUUCUCCCUUGCUCUAGGCGUCCACAGCGAUUAGGGUUCCUCUCAAUUGACCAAAAGACUGAAAAUGACGGCCUAAGAGGCGUUAAAUACGAUCCAAACUGAACGGUUAGGGUUUCUGCUGAACAGCGUCGACUCGCCGAGUCCAUAUCUGGACUCGUCGAGUCCAGUCGCGGACCCGCGACCAAGUCCGCGAUCCUACUCGGCGAGUCUAGGCUCCAACUCGCCGAGUCCCCUCUUAAAUCACCCCAAAAACAUAAUUUUAAUAAUACCUGAGAUUCCGGGCUGUUACAAUUCUCCCCCACUUGGAUUAGACUUCGCCCUCGAAGUCUCAUUCUGCAAAUAGUUCCGGAUGCUGCUCCCGCAUUUCGCGCUCCGGUUCCCAAGUCAUUUCUGAUCCCUUACGGUGUUGCCAUUGAACCAACACCAGAGGUACUUCCUUGUUCCUCAGAACCUUGAUCUUCCGAUCCCUGAUAGCCACUGGUCUCUCCGCGUAAUUCAGGCUCGCAUCCACCUGAAUAUCCUCCAAUGGAACCACUGCCGACUCAUCGGCUAUGCACUUCCUCAACUGCGACACAUGAAAAGUGUCAUGGAUCUGACCCAACUCCGCUGGCAACUCCAACCGGUAGGCUACCCGACCUAUCCUUGCAAUCACACGAAAUGGCCCAAUAUACCGGGGCCCCAACUUGCCUCUCUUCCUGAACCGAAUCACUCCUUUCCAAGGAGAGACCUUCAGGAGAACGAAGUCGCCGACUUGAAAUUCAAGCUCGGAUCGGCGCCUGUCUGCAUAACUCUUCUGUCGGCUCUGGGCAGUCAAUAACCUUUGUCUCACUUGCUGAAUCUGCUCUGUCGUCUGGAGCACGAUCUCCGUGCUGCCCAUCACUCUCUGUCCCACCUCUCCCCAGCAAAUGGGGGUCCGACACCUCCUACCAUACAACAGCUCGAAAGGUGGCAUACCAAUGCUCGAAUGAUGGCUGUUGUUGUAGGAGAACUCUGCCAAUGGUAAGUACGCAUCCCAACUACCCCCGAAGUCUAACACACACGCUCGGAGCAUGUCCUCCAGUGUCUGAAUUGUCCGCUCGCUCUGACCGUCUGUCUGGGGAUGGUAUGCGGUACUAAAAUGCAAUUUAGUACCCAGCUCCUCAUGGAAUUUCUUCCAGAAUCUGGAAGUAAAGCGCACAUCACGGUCUGACACAAUCGAGAUCGGCACCCCGUGCCGAGAUACCACCUCUCUCACGUAUAUCUCCGCCAAUUUCUCCGCCGAAGAACUCUCACUGAUGGCAAGGAAGUGUGCACUCUUUGUCAACCUAUCCACGAUCACCCAAAUUGCGUCAACUCCCCUAGCAGUCCUCGGCAAUUUGGUGAUAAAAUCCAUAGUAAUCUGUUCCCACUUCCACUCGGGGAUCUCCAAUGGCUGUAACUUGCCAUGCGGUCUCUGGUGCUCAGCCUUAACCCUACGGCAGGUCAAGCACCUCUCAACGAACCAUGCCACGUCCCUCUUCAUACAGGGCCACCAAUAUUCCUUCCUUAAAUCCAAAUACAUCUUUGUAGCACCGGGAUGGAUCGAGAAUUUCGAUCUAUGAGCCUCUUCCAUCAACGUAAUACGCGUACCGCCCACGAACGGUACCCAAAUCCGACCCUGAAACGUCAUAAGGCCUCGACUAUCCUUGACAAACUCUGAGAUUAACCCCACAACCCGCUCUUUCUUCUGCAUUUCUGGUCGCACAGCCUCCGCCUGGGCCCCACGAAUAGCGUCCAAUACUGGAGUCAUCACAGUCAGUCUCAAGCAUACGUCUCGCAAUGGAGUGCUCUCCGCCCUGCGGCUCAAUGCAUCGGCUACCACAUUAGCCUUGCCUGGGUGGUACAGGAUCUCACAAUCAUAAUCCUUGACCACAUCCAACCACCUCCUCUGACGCAUAUUUAGGUUGGGUUGAUCCAUCAAAUACUUCAAACUCUUAUGGUCCGUGUAUAUCGUACAUCGAACCCCAUACAAGUAGUGACGCCAAAUCUUGAGAGCGAACACUACUGCCCCCAACUCUAAAUCAUGCGUGGGAUAUCUCGCCUCAUGAGGCUUCAGCUGCCUCGACGCAUAAGCUAUCACAUGACCCCUCUGCAUUAACACUGCACCCAAUCCCGAAAUCGAUGCGUCGCAAUAUACCACGAAAUCUUCCAUCCCUUCUGGAAGAGCUAAUACCGGGGCUUCGCACAAUCUCUGGCGAAGUGUCUCAAAGGAGGUCUGCUGCUCGGGCCCCCAUGAGAAUGCAACACCCUUCCGGGUCAAUCUGGUGAGUGGCACUGCGAUCUUGGAGAAAUCCUUGAUAAAUCUCCGAUAAUACCCUGCCAACCCAAGGAAACUUCUGAUCUCAGAGGGUGACUUCGGCACCUCCCAACUCAUCACCGCCUCAACCUUGGCCGGAUCGACCAAUAUCCCUUUCUGAUUAACCACAUGUCCUAGAAACUGGACUUCCCGCAACCAGAAGUCACAUUUGGAGAACUUUGCAUAAAGCUUCUCCGACCUCAAUACCUCCAGGACCUCCCUCAAAUGCUCCUCAUGCUGCUCUCUAGAUCUCGAAUACACCAGAAUGUCGUCGAUAAAUACAAUCACUGACCGAUCCAACAUCGGCCUGCAUACCCUGUUCAUGAGAUCCAUGAACACAGCCGGGGCAUUGGUGAGUCCAAAAGGCAUCACCACAAACUCAUAAUGCCCAUAUCGCGUCCUAAACGCUGUCUUCUGGACGUCCUCAUCCCGUACUCUCACCUGAUGGUAUCCUGACCUCAGAUCGAUCUUGGAAAACCAAGAUGCUCCCUGCAACUGAUCGAAUAAAUCAUCGAUCCUCGGCAACGGGUAACGGUUCUUGACCGUUAGCUUGUUCAACUCCCGGUAAUCAAUGCACAUCCGGUGUGAACCAUCCUUCUUCUUGACGAACAGAAUAGGUGCUCCCCAUGGCGAGCUGCUCGGCCGAAUGAAUCCCUUUCCCAGCAACUCCUGGAGUUGCGAGGACAACUCUUGCAUCUCUGGAGGUGCAAGACGAUAGGGCACUUUAGCAAUAGGCGCUGCCCCCGGAACCAGAUCGAUACUAAACUCUACUUGCCUCACAGGCGGUACUCCCGGCAACUCCUCGGGAAAGACAUCUGAAAACUCGCGCACCACCGGAACUUCCUCAACUGACUUCGGUUUCUCAGAAACCUCCCGCGUAUCCAUCACAUACGCCACGAAACCCUUACAGCCCUGACGUAGACACUGCCUCGCCCUAGCGGCCGAACAAAAAGCUGAUCCCGAACGGGUACCCUCGCCGUAUACCGAAAGAACUCCCCCACUUGGGUCUCGUAUAGUCACCAACUGACGCUCACAGUCGAUGACAGCGCCGAACCGGCUCAACCAGUCCAUGCCCACGAUGACACAGACAUCCCCCAUCGCGAUAGGAAUCAGAUCAAUCGGGAAUCCAACCCCGAAAAUCUCUAGUACACAUCCCCGAAGAACCUCCGUAGCACAAAUCACCUUCUCGUCAGCUAUAGAGACUCUCAAAGGUCGACUCAACGACUCACGACUAACGCCAAUAUGCUGACUAAAGGCCAAGGACACAAAGGACCUACUCGCACCCGAGUCAAAUAACACUAAGGCAGGCACAGAGUUCACAAGGAAAGUACCUACGCGCAUAACAACAUAAGCAUAACAUAUCGACAUUAAAAUAAUUACAUGAAUUACAACAUACCUGCCACAACAUCGGGCGCAGCGCGGACCUCUUCCGCUGUCAGCUGAAAGGCUCUUCCCCGAGCCCUCGGGGCCUCGGCCUUCACCGGUCGAGUCGCAGUAACUCCGGCAGCAGGUGCAGAUCCCUGAAGAAGCUGAGGGCACUCGGCCUUCCUAUGGCCAGUCUGGUUGCAAUGAAAGCAAACCGAAAAUCCCUUGGGGCACUCCCUAGCAAUGUGCCCCUCCUUGCCACACUUGUAGCAAGCACCAGAUCGACAUACUCCAUCAUGACUCUUGCCGCACUUCCCGCAAGUGCGACCCUUCGAACCUCCUGUCCUCGAAUCAGCGGACUUGGUCCGCUUGGCUGCCGGCUGGAACUGAGCCGGUCGCCGAUCCACCCGCUGAGACUCGGCCUCCUCCCUAGCCUGGGUCUCCAACUCGAUCUCGCGCUUCCUGGCAUUCGCCUGAAGCUCAGCAAAAGUAUGGUAAGUGGAGUUUGACACAAACUCCCGAAUAUCCCUCCUCAAGACACCCAAGUAUCGGCUCAUCCGAGCCUGCUCUGAGGACACCAGCUCAGGGCAAAACAUCGCCCUCUCAUGAAACUUCCGUGUAAUCACCGCAACAGAAUCGGUACCCUGCUUGAGGGUUAAGAACUCCUGCACCAAUCGUUCCCUCUCCACCGGGGGAACGUACUCAUCCCUGAACAUGGCAGUAAACCCCUCCCAUGUCACCGCUGUAGUCUCUGCCAAAGUGAAAUUCGCUGUCACGAACUUCCACCAGUCCUUCGCUCCCAGACGGAGCUGGUUCAAAGCGAACCGUACCCUCAGGUGCUCCGGGCAUGAACAAGUAUAGAAGCACCCCUCUAUAUCUGCGAUCCACCUCAUCGCAGCAAUCGGAUCCUGCGUCCCAUCGAACUCUGGUGGCUUCGUGUUGCUGAACUCUCGGAACAGCAAUGAAUCACCCCCCUGUGGCCUAGCAGCGGCCACAGCUGCGGUAGCUGCAGCGGUUGCAGCCUCAGUCAAUGCGGCGUACCGCUCGUCGAACGUCUCCAUCAGGGUGGUCUUGAUAGACCCAAACAUCUCCGGGAUCUCAGCCCGGAUCGCCGCCGCCACCUCCUCGUGGAUCAUCUGACGAAUAUCCUCGUCACUCACACCGCUCGUACUUGCCCCGUGCCGCGGUCUAACCAUGAUAUCUCUGAAAUACAACAUAAAACUAUCAGAGAUUCUACCGAGUAUAAUCGUACUCGACACGCAACCCUACUCAGUCCCAGAUAUCCAGGGAUUCUUACUUGGGCCUCCCACUGACCCGGUGUCCUCGGUAGUACGGGCCCAAUACUACCGACCACACCGCAUCAAUGUUCAUCCCAAGUCCUCCUCCCCAAACUCCAGAUAGUGAGUACUCUACUUCUGAUACGCUCUAUCUACCCGCAUACUAGCAAAGCAUCUCAUAUAAGCAACUUCCCUAGACUAAGGCAUCACAAAUCAGGCCACUCUAGUCCUAUCAUGAAUACCUAGUCUUCUAGCAUGCAUAACAAUUCAUAUCAUAUAAUAUUGUAAGGUAUUUUGGGGAUCUUUACCGUUCGGGCGCUGACUGAUCGUACACACUGCUUCUUUCUUGCUUACCACAAAACCAUUUACAAAAGUUUAUGCCUUUAUUUGAAAAGUUUUCUCAAAUCCUCGGUUUGAGUUCAGUUACCCCCGAAGGUGCACCCGAAUCCCUCAAACCAAGGCUCUGAUACCAAUUGUAACAACUCAAAUUUUUCAAACAAAUUUUUCAUUUUUAAAACAUAAUUAUUUCCAUUAAAAACAAGGCAUAAACAGUUCAAUUAUUCGGUCAAUACAAUUAUUCAAACUCCCAAGAUCAUAAAACAAUCUUCAGUGUGUAUCGAUCAUGCCGGCGCCUUCCCACGGUCCUCACUAGUACCUGAAAUACAUGCACAACAACUGUAAGCAUAAAUGCUUAGUGAGUUCCCCAAUAUACACUUACGCACAUACGCCUUUCCAGGCCCUGACCUUCCGGUCCUCAUUACAACGCCUUCCGGCCCAUAACAUAAUCGCCUUCCGGCCCAUAACAUAUUGCCUUCCGGCCCACAUAUCAUACAUAGCACAUAUAACAAUUAACUUACCACAUAUAGCAUACAUAUCACAUAACAUAUCCGACCUUCCGGUCACACAGUCAAACCCUUCCGGGUACAGUAUAGUGAGAAGACUCACCUCGUAAAUGCUGAAAGCUAGCAACUCCUGAAAUCACUCGUGCACAAUCCGACGAGCUACAACCUUCCUAUAACAUCACAUAUCUCAUUAACACUUAUAACUUCUAAGGGUGACUAUCCCUAAGAAGUCAGACUUAGGUCAACUCUGGUCAACGGUCAACGGUCAGCUCGACCGGACUCGGCGAGUACCAUGGCGACUCGGCGAGUCUAGACGUCCUCCAACUUUCUGAGAUUCCUUAUCUACUCGUCGAGUACCCUCCUCGACCCGACGAGUUACUCCUGGAAGAAUCGCGGGGCCACCCCGACUCCACUCGCCGAGUCUGAAGAACAACUCGGCGAGUCCCAGUAAAUCUUCAAGCUACUCGCCGAGUCUGAAGAACAACUCGGCGAGUCCAUGCCAUGCAGACGAGUAACUGCUUCCUGAGAUAGGUCUCGUCCCGAAGUACACAUGCAUGGGACCUUCUGGACCUCUAAAGGUCCUAAUACAAGACUAUAAUCGUGGGGUAACAAGGCAUUUCUUCAUCAAAUCACUAAAUGGGUUAUAUAAACCCUAAUUUCAUAAAUACAUCAAAAUAACAGAUUUGGUCCGAGUUAUUACCUGGAAACGCACUCUCUGUGUCCCCCAAAUCUCAGAACUCAAUCCUCCUUGAUAUCCCUUUAGCCGAAUCCCUCUUCUUCUUGCCUAACCAAUUUCCAAGUUCNNNNNNNNNNNNNNNNNNNNNNNNNNNNNNNNNNNNNNNNNNNNNNNNNNNNNNNNNNNNNNNNNNNNNNNNNNCUCGCCGAGUCCAUAUCUGGACUCGUCGAGUCCAGUCGCGGACCCGCGACCAAGUCCGCGAUCCUACUCGGCGAGUCUAGGCCCCAACUCGCCGAGUCCCCUCUUAAAUCACCCCAAAAACAUAGUUUUUAAUAAUACCUGAGAUUCCGGACUGUUACACUCCAGCCUGAUCUAGCUCGUUGGACCCUUUAGUCUGGUCUAAAUCGUUGGACCCUCCGACCCGGUCUAAUAUCACAUAGCAUACAUAAAUCACAAUGCACGUAAUCUCAAGCAAGCACAUAACACAUAAGACCCUCCGGUCUGCACAUAGAUACCACUCUAGGUAAUUUAUAGUGAGAAGACUCACCUCGUAAGAUGUCUAGAAAACUCUCGUGCUCGAAUCCCCGAUCUAGCCUCCGCCUAUCAAAAUGAUAACAACUCUAAUCAAUACACUCCUUACAUUCUCCUCUCCAAGAAUGGGUAGAAGACUAUUCUACCCCUCCCCAACCUCUCUUAAAUCAGUUUGACAAACCCUAAGGUCAACUGAAGUCAACUCAGUCAAUGGUCCAACUUUGACCAGACUCCCUGAGUGCACUUGGGUGACUCGGCGAGUCCAUGCGUGUCCUCUGACUCCUCCUAAGGCCUCACUCGACUCAUCGAGCUAACCUCUCAACUCAACGGGUUACCAUUGGUCACGAAUCGUAGGGCAACCCGAUCCGACUCGUCGAGUCCUCUCAAGGACUCAACGAGUUUCCUCUAUGACAUUACUCAUUUGAUCUUCUAGGGCUAGAUCUGUUUCUCUAACUUAUAGAUCUGGCCUUCUAACACCCAAAAAUCACGUAAAGGUCUGAUCUUGGUGUUCAUGCAUGUUGUAUCUUGCAUUAUAUACCAUAAAAACUGAUAGCUUCAUUUUAUUUACUUCUUUUUAUAGUUUAUUUUAGCACAUUUCAUUCGCAUUUUAGUUAAUUUCCAUGCAUAUUUUCCCUUUUGUUAUUUUUAUGACCAUUUCGGGGUACUUUCUAGUUUCUUGAGCAUUAUUGCAGAUUUUCUUGGAGACUAGCUGAGCGGGACUCUUGGGAGGCGAUUGGGCUUGAAGGGAAAUGGGGAUUUCGUGCUUGAUGGCUAUGGAGGUGAUUCAUGGAGUGGACUUGUCAAUUGCUUGAAGGCUUGGAAGUGUUGAACUUUAAAUUUGAAAGGCACGGGAAAAUUCUUGAGUGUGCAAGAUCGAUGUUUAGGAGUUUGCGGAAGUUCUGAGUGAUGUGGAAAGACAAAUUGGGCUCAAAUUGAAGAAAUAUUGAAGANGCUAUUUGAGGAAGGUUGGUGCCCAUCUUUUGGAGACUCUUGGACAUCCGAUUUUUGGAGAUUCUCUCUGGAGUUUUGAAGACUUUUGAAGGCCAAGAACACUUGAAGAACAUCAUAUUUUUACCUCUUGAUUCUUGCUUAAUGUUUGGUACAAUUUUCUCUAACUUUGUUUCUUUGGGUUUAGCCAUGCUUGGCUAAACUAAUCUUGGUUGACUUUUGGUUAAUCCUUUGAACUUUUGUUGAAUGUUGAAGAAUCCAUGAACAUGUUCUUAAAUCUUUAUGGGAAUGUUUUGUGUUUUAACAUCUUAUCACUACUUGUAUGUUUUAAUUCAUGAGUUUAAAUGUGUUUGUGGUGAUUAGUUGGCUAAUUUCUUGAUUGAGUAAAGGAUCCUCAAAUUAGCAAGCAACAAAUGAUUUUUGUGUUGUUUUUGCUUCGCACAAUCAUAAAAACAUUUCCUCCAACAUGGUGGUGAAAGCAUUUGACCCCUCUUGGAUUUGGUGACUUUUUGGUUCUUAAUGCUAGUUGACUUUCACUAAUUACAUGCUAUUUGGAAUUAGUGACUUUGACUAAGGAAAUUGUUAUGAGCUUCUCUAGCCAUUUCAACAAUUAAGAAAAGUCUAGGUAAUCUCAAGCUCCUUGGAUUACUAUAGCCAAAUUAAGGAUUUAAAUCAAAGUAUUGCACCAUUGGAUUCUAAUGAUAUGUUCAUCAAAAGUCAAAGUGAGGAAACUUUAAGUCAACCAUCUCUCCCUUAUUGAUUUUACAUCAAACUCUUAUUUUUGUUGCAUUUGUCUAUUUAAAUCAUAGUUAAUUCUAGUUUGUUUCAAGUAUUUCAAAACAUCAAAACCCCCCAUUUUAUUUUUAUUGUCAUUUUACAAGUAUUUUUACAAAGAGAUUUUUCAUAGAGUUAUAAAUUGAACCAAUCUCCGUGGAUUCGAUCCCUUUACCACUAUACAUUAUUUUAGUGUGUAAUAUUUAGGGUUAUUAUUUGUGUUGGCCUCGACAACCACCAGAAACCCCAUUAUUUCUUCCUAGCUUCAAACCCUAAGGUUUACUCUACUAAGGCUUCAUACUUCGGGCUUUCUGGACCUAGAAGGGUCCAAAUCUAUAACAUAAACUUGCAAGAGGGGUUUGAGGCACUCCAAACCCCAAAAAUAAAGUGAUUCAAGCCCUAAUCCCAAAAAUGGAAUCCACACAAUAGGGAAGAAAAGGGGUUCGAUUUGAUACCUCAUAAUGAAGCUCCUUGCUUGAAUAACUCAGAACAACAACCUCCUCUGGUCCCUCUUGUUGGAACUCUUCUCCUCUCUUGCAAAAUCACACCAAAUAGCUCAAGAUAGCUCUUUCUAUCACUUUACACACUCAAGCUCGCUAGGGUUCUCUCUUUUGGAAAGGUAGUCGCAAUUGAAGGCCAGAAGUGCCUUUAAAUAGGGCUCGGGCCCGAAAAUUUAGGGUUUCUAUCAACAGCGCGGACUCGUCGAGUCGACUCACGACUCGUCGAGUUCAUUCAUUAAUCUGAGUCAUCAGUCUCGACCUUACUCGACGAGUUGAGGCGUCAACUCGUCGAGUCACUCUUCAUAUCUCAAAAUAAAUACUCAAAUUGUCAUACCUGGAAAUCCGGAUGUUACAUGAUGACGCUUGGAAAGAAAAAAAUUUCUUCAUGAGGCGCGAUUCGGUUCCUAAGGGGGAUUCCCUGCCAAGAUCAUGGGUUAAAUUAGCUAGCCCGAAUCUGCGGGUGUUACAAAUUACAUAUAUGGGACUUGUACCACAUAGGAAGAAGAGAAAACCUUGUCCCACAUAGGAAGAAUAGAAAACAUUGUCCCGCUUUAUAAGAUUUUUUCCUACUCAUUUAAUCAAAUAGACUAUCUAAUGCGGUAAGCAUCUUGGGUUUGGAUUGUGGUGUUGGACUAGUCAUAUUGAGUUAGAAAAGGGUUGGAUUUAUUAUAUGUAUUAAUGGUUAAAGAUAGGGCCUUGGAGCUCUUGGGAUCUUCUUGAGUACAUAAUGUAUUUUUGUUAUUAUAAAUCUAAAAUUAAUUAUUUAGUUAAUUUUUAUUUAUUAUAUUAUGUUAGUUAGUGAAUUAACCGUGUGAUAGUUUUAACAGUUAUUUUCGGUUGGUGGUUUACAACCAUCAUUAGAAGCCCAUGAAUACAUCAAGAUUGACAGAAUUCGGAGGCUAAUGAAACACACAUAUACUCCACUUAAAAUCAUUUUUGAUGCAAAAUGGGAGCAUGGUUGUUUUUGACAUAUUCAAUAUCUGUUCUGAGAUGAUUAUGUGGAUAUACAGAUCGUCAAAAUAAGAGUCUGUAUGAGAAAGUUAUAACCCUUUGAAGUUUAGAUAAAAGUAUGUACGUUGUUGUUUUGAGAAAAGUCAACGAAAGUCAAAGUCAAACGGUUAAAUCUCAAGUCAACACGAUGAGGAGGAUCGACUUACGCGAUAUGUAGGUAAGCAGAGUCACGAGACAUGUAUCAAUCAUUGAAGGACACAUGGCGGAAGGAGAAGACACAUGUCGAGAUCUCGGAUAACAGACAUUUUGUGGCACGACUUGGAGCGUGCUGCGGUGCAUUUUUCAAUUAGUAUAUAUAGUUUGAGUUUGUGUCAUUUGAUGAGUUUUGGCACGUACGAUCGGGGAAGAGGCUUGGGAGGUGUUUCCGGAGAAUUAUUACCGUAGAGUCGUACUAGCUUAUGGUGAUACGAGGGUUGAGUUAUGAGAUUAGGUAUCUUUUACCCCGUUAUUACCUAAUUACGUUUAUGUGAUAUUUCGUAGAGGGUCUAACGACCAUGGGUAUACGUUAUGGGAUUUCGUGAUAUGGUGCUAUUACGAACCCGAAAAUUUGUUAAAUGUUAAUCUGGUCAUUAUGGGUUAAAUAUCCUAAUUUAAUGAGAUUUUUCGAUUGGGUUAACAACUUGCGGGGUUAAGUCGCUAGGUGAUUGUAUUUGAAAACUUGAAUAAUUUGGUGAAAAAUGGUUACCGAGUCUGGUUAGUGAUCAAGUAUUUGAUCAUUGUGGUUGAUAUUAAACAGGUUUUAAUGACCUUGAUAUAUUGUCCAAAUAGGUUUGGACAAGUGAUGAAUUGGAAGUCACAGAUAUAGAUGCCAGAAUAAUAGUUAGUCUUCACUAACUAACCAAGUGAGUAACUUUACCUUUCUUUAGAUUAAUGAUAUAUAGAUAUGUGAUAAUUAUUUUGUAUGUUCAUGGUAGAGUAUAAUAUCUGAAUUAUUAUUUAUUAAUAUUGUAUGAGUCGAGGAUUUGCAAUAAUUGAGAAUUAUAGUUGUCUCCUGCUAUACAAGUCAUUAAAUAAAGUAAUUGAAAAUUAUAGUACUUUAUUACUAUUUGAGUAAACAGGCGAGUAUAACUGAGAUACAUAGUGAGGUAAAAUAUUCAUUUAAAUUAACAAUUAUAAUNUAUAUUAAUAAUUUACUUAAAAUAAUUUAUCAAUAAUUAUUAGUUUUUUUUGUAAAGGCUUAAUUUAUUUUAUAACCCAAGGUUGUCAAGAUCGGGAUCCUAUCUAGGAUUGUUUUUGGGUUUGCAAGAUCGGGAUCCUAAGAUCCCACAAUAAGUUGAUUUAAAAGUCGGUGUUCCUAUUAUGUUACUAAGAAAUAUCGAUCAGAAAAAUAGGUUAUGUAAUGGUACUAGACUUCAGGUGGCAUCAUUGGGUAAUCGCGUCAUAGAAACAAUGGUCUUAACUGGAAGUAACAUUGGACAUCGAGUUUUUAUUUCAACGUUGUCUUUAACACCUCCAGAUAGCAAAAUUCCAUACAAGUUUAAAAGAAGACAAUUUCCCUAAGAGGUUUUUUUGCUAUGACCAUAAAUAAAAGUCAGGGCCAAUUGUUGAAAAGGAUUGGGUUGUUUUUGCGAGAAUCGGUUUUCUCAUAUGGUCAGUUAUAUGUUGCUUUAUCUAGAGUAAAGAGCAAAGAAAAAUUGAAGUUAUUGAUUUUAGAUAAAUAUAGUAAUUUAACUAAUAAAACUUCCAAUUUUGUGUUCAAGGAAGUAUUUUAAAAUCUUUGUUGACGUUUUAUGUUUAUUUUUUUAAAUCAAAUAAAGUUGUACUUACUUACCAUUCACAAUCAAAUGUUUUUUUACAUUUAUUAAUUUUUUUGGUUUAUAUAAAAUUUUUAACUUAUUUCCUAUGAGUUAUAAGCUCGAAAAUAAAACAAAAGGUUAAAAGUACUAUUUUAUAUUAUAUGAAUAUGAAAACAGAUAGUAAUAGUAUUUAAUUUUUAUAACUUGCUGACGCCAUCAACUAAUUUUAGGAAUAUAAAUAUAAAUAAUCGAAUAUUAUAUUGCAAGGUCUUUUUCGAGUGAAAAAGAGAACUGAAUCUCUUCAAUUAUUCUCGUGUGCCCAUUCACGAAGGUUUUCUUCCCCAUCCCCUCUUUCAAACCCUUGCAGAGAAGGUAUGAGAAUCUUUCUCACUUUUCAUGCAUCCUUCUUUACAGAUGUCAUUAUAUGCAUGAUACUUUGUUGUAAGCAAAAUGCAUUUGAGGCAUCUUUUCGAUUAAUUUCACAUUUGGGUUUUUUUUUUUGACAGAAUUCGCAGUUUGGAUUGAUCAUCGGGAAAGGAAAACCCUAAGAAUCGACGGAGCUAGGUUUUUUUCUCACUUGGUUAGUCUCUGAAAAUUUCCUCUUGUUUUGUUUGUCUGCAUGUCUAGAUAUAUAAUUUCGUUAGCGUUUGCUCUUAUCUUUCGAGGAUUUGCAAAUCAGAUCUUCAGAAUUGGGUUUUUUUUAGUCGGCACAAUCGAUGAAUUUCAUUUUGCAUUUGCUAAUUUGAGGUUAAAGGAAUCCUGCUUUCUAGACAUGAGAUUCCUUCGCGUGAUGGUUUCAAUAAUAUUAUGUUUUCCAUUUCAGUUUUAAGGGUCUAUUGCUCGAUGCAUGUUUCUGUUUAACUUUAGACAGGAAAAAUCAGCUUUUGUAGGUUUUACACAAGAGUUUAAAAGCUUACCUCGUAAGAUGUUCAUAAGAACACUCACUAAUCACAAAAUGUCCCAACAAAUCUCAAUAUCACCAAAAUUAUGUUCUUGAUUUAUCAAAUUUGCAUUACAUUCUCACACAACACACAACCUGCAACUUCCAUCUCUACCAUUUACAAGAAAACCAACAUGUUGAGCUUAUAGAUUCUAGUUACUUUUCACAAAUUGUUACAAAUUACAACAAUUUCUUGAUCUGAUUAGAUAUGGAGGGAUCAGGCCAUGGAACAAGCAGUGUAGACAUGUUCUUGAGGAACUACAAGCUUGGAAAAACACUUGGGAUUGGUUCAUUUGGAAAGGUGAAAAUUGCAGAACAUGCUUUAACAAGGCACAAAGUUGCCAUAAAGAUCCUCAAUCGUCGCAAGAUAAAAAACAUGGAUAUGGAAGAAAAAGGUAAAUAACUAAAAUUAUUGUAUUUACAUCUCAUCAUCUUCAAUAUCUUUCUCACCAUAUAACAACAUCUUUCUACAGUUAGAAGAGAGAUCAAGAUCUUAAGAUUGUUCAUGCAUCCACAUAUCAUCCGUCUUUAUGAGGUUAUAGAAACACCCUCAGAUAUUUAUGUUGUUAUGGAGUAUGUGAAAUCGGGUGAGCUUUUUGAUUACAUUGUGGAAAAGGGAAGGUUACAAGAAGAUGAAGGGAGGAAUUUCUUUCAACAGGUGAAUUAAAACAUUCGAUUGUUACAUACUUACAUUAACUGUUUGAGUGUUUUCUUAAUUUUUUAUAGCAUAAUUUCGUUUUCUUUGAAGCAGAUAAUAUCAGGUGUUGAAUAUUGCCAUAGGAACAUGGUUGUUCAUAGAGAUCUUAAACCUGAAAACCUUUUGUUAGAUUCAAAAUGCAAUGUGAAAAUUGCUGAUUUUGGUUUAAGUAAUAUCAUGCGUGAUGGACAUUUUCUUAAAACAAGUUGUGGAAGCCCAAAUUAUGCUGCUCCUGAGGUAUGGAUUUAUGGGGUUUAAAGAAAAUUAAGAAAAGUAAUUUUUUUUUUUUAAUGUUUAUGAUUUUGUGUUGUGUUUUUACUUUUUAGGUUAUAUCUGGGAAGCUGUAUGCUGGACCUGAAGUUGAUGUGUGGAGUUGUGGUGUUAUUUUGUAUGCUCUUUUAUGUGGGACCCUUCCUUUUGAUGAUGAAAAUAUUCCUAACCUCUUCAAGAAAAUUAAGGUACAUUUAUAAAUUUAUAACAGUUUAUAAAAACACCUAUAAUAGUAAUAGAAUAAUAGUAAAGCUUAUUUAUGCCACAUCAGCUUCAACUCAUCCAAAAACCUCAAGAUAUGUCCAUUAUAGUAAAACUUUUUUUUUUCUCUAAGCUUAUUUAUAUCAUUACAAAUCUAUAUAAUUGAAAAUUUAAAAUAAAAAUAAAAAUUAUUUUCCAGGGUGGAAUAUAUACCCUACCUAGUCACUUAUCACCUGGAGCAAGAGAUUUAAUUCCAAGAAUGCUUGUGGUGGACCCCAUGAAGCGAAUAACUAUUCCUGAAAUCCGUAUGCACCCGUGGUUCCAAGCCCAUCUCCCGCGUUAUCUGGCGGUCCCACCACCCGAUUCCAUGCAACAAGCGAAAAAGGCAAAAUUACAAAAAUACCCUUUUGGUUCUUUAUUAAUUACAUGGGCGUUUAAGUAAUUGUGCGUUUUUACUUUCUACAGACGGAUGAAGACAUUCUUUUAGAGGUGGUUAAGAUGGGAUUUGAUCGCGAUACCCUCAUUGAAUCCCUUCGCAACCGAGUGCAAAAUGAGGUAUAAAUUGUUAUUUAUUUAUUUAUUUUUAAAUUUAAUGGAUAUGAUUUUUGUUUAUUUAUUUAUUUAUAGUUAUUGUUUAUUUUAUGUAGGGUACAGUGGCGUAUUAUUUGCUUUUGGACAAUAGGUUUCGUAACUCGAGUGGCUAUCUUGGAGCUGAAUUUCAAAAACCCUUGGUUAGUUUUUUUUUUUUUUUUUNUUUUUUUUUUUUUUUUUUUUUUUUUUUUUUUUUUUUUAAGAAUAUGACAAAAUAGGGCAGCUUGUACCUGGGGUUUAGACUGAUGUCAAUGAGACAAAAAGUACAAAAUUUGUGGUCCCACCCAAAAAGUGGGGAAAAACUACAAAACUUUUGGUUCCACCUAAAAAAUCAGACUGAUGUCAAUUGGACAAAAGCUUCAAUUUUUUUUGUUCUACCAAAAAAGGUGGGACAGACAGAUGUCAAUGAGACAAAAAUUGCAAAUUUUUUGGUCCCACCUGAAAAGGUGCGACAGAAACUAUUGCAAAAUAAAAAAGGUGUGGAUAUUUACUCGUUUGUGUAAAAGACAAAAAUGCCCUUCUCAUAAAAAACAUCCUUAAAAAAAGUGUCAUGUUUUCUAUAAAAUGGGAAAAAAACUUUAUUUACUCGUUUGUGUAAAAGACAAAAAUGCCCUUCUCAUGAAAAAAAUCCUUAAAGAGCUUGUGGAUAUAUCUUGUUUAUGUAAAAGACAAAAAUGCCCUUCUCAUGAAAACCAUCCUUAAAAAGCUUGUCAUGUAUUCUAUAAAAUGGGAAAAAAGCUUUGUUUACUCGUAUAUAUCUAUGGUCUAUACACGUAUCAAUAUUACAUAUAUGAUAUGAUAUAUCCAAAGUUUGUGAAUUUACCGAUUUGCCCUUUUGGCUCAACAAAAAUACAGGAUGGAUUCAACCGCAUGAGUUCAAACGAAGCUCCUACUUCUCCAAUUAUGGCACAACGCCCAUCUGCUUACAUGGAUUAUCAAGGAAUGAAUAUCAGAAACCAAGUCGAAAGAAAAUGGGCUCUUGGACUUCAGGUUAAGUUUCUUGAAACAAUUAAUUAAUUAAAACAUUUUUUUUUCUUAUUGUUUUUGAUUUUUUUUUUUUUUUUUUUUUUUUUUUUUUUUUUUUUCUUUUUACAGUCUCGAGCACAUCCUCGUGAGAUAAUGACAGAGGUUCUGAAAGCUUUGCAAGAGCUGAACGUGUGUUGGAAAAAAAUAGGUCAUUACAAUAUGAAAUGUAGGUGGGUCCCGGGUGUGCCAGGUCAUCAUCAAGGCAUGGUGAAUGAUUCUAUUUCCAUGCAAAGUAAUCAUAAUUAUUUUGGAGAUGAGUUGACUAUUGUUGAAAAUGAUGGUGCGUUGACUUCCCCUAAUGUCGUCAAAUUUGAAGUCCAGGUAAUAUUUUUUAUUUUUAUUUCAGUUAUUAUUAUUAUUUUUUUUUGCAUUAAGAAUUAUUUUGUUUGGUAUGGUGGAAUCGGAAGUAUGGAAUGGAAUUGACCAUUCCCAAAGGCAUUUGAAUUCUGAUUCCUUCCAUUUUGUUAAUUUUCAUUCUGUCCUGGAUCGGAAUGAAAAUUGUAAUAUAACCCAUUUUUAUUUAAGUUUUUUUUAAGAAUUUCAUGAUAUUUAAUUAAAUGAUAAGUUUCUUUUCUAAAAAUAACUAGAAGGAAUUAUUUUUAUUAUUAUCUUAUUUGGGUUUUAAUGAGCUUUUAUUACAAUUAUGUUUUUUGUUUUGUAAAUAAUAAACUCUAUAGCUAUAAUUAAAUUGCAUAUUACUAUUAAAAGUUAAAACCAUAUAUUUAUUUUAUAUAUAAUAUAAAAUAAAAAAAUCAUAUGUAAAAGUUCAUUCCAUUCCUACAAGCCACAACCAAAUCUUUUUUUCUUAUUCGAUUAAGUAUACAAAUCUUUUUUUGAGAAUUUCACGAUUGUAAUUACAAGUUAUAAUUCUAUUUUUUACAAAUAACUAGAAAAAAGAAUACUAAUAUAUUUUAUCAUAUUCUUGUUUGGGUUUUAACAAGCAUUCAUUAUCUAUUCAAUAUAAUCCACAAUUGGAGGGGUAUGUAUUUUUGUCUCUUAACAAGACAAAAGAACAGAAUGGAAUCUCGGAUUCCGAUUCCGAGGUUCCAUCGGAAUGGAAUCUCGGAUUCCGAUUCCGACCUUACAAAAUACCAUUUCAUUAUUGCAGCUUUACAAAACUCGCGAGGACAAAUAUCUGCUUGAUCUACAACGAAUCCAGGGCCCACAGUUUCUAUUCCUGGAUCUUUGUGCUGCAUUUCUUGCUCAGCUUCGCGUCCUGUAAAACCCUAAAAAAUAAAUAUGAAGGAACACAACUACCUGCUUUCUCCUUGGAGUUGGACUCUUCCCUCCCUUGUGAAGAAAAGCUAUUAUGCUAUAAUAGACCACUGUAAUGUAAAUAUCUCUCUCUCUCUUCAUGUCUUUCUCAUUUAGGUAAGGGUAGGCGACUCUUGUGACUUGUGAGCCAAUCUUUUUGCUGACUCACUACGCCUCAAAUACCAAUCAACUUUAUUUUCUUACUUUUUAUAUCAAUGUAAAAUGAUAAUACUUUUCUAGAGUCUUUAUCAUUAUUAAUGUUGUUUAAUGCCUUUCUUUUUGUUAAAUUUAAUUUUAUGAAUGACUGAUAUAUUGAAUAGUAGUACAAAACUAUUUAAUGCAUUUCUGUUUUCUCUCAACUUGAUAACAAUAAAAAGAAUUGGAACAAAUUUGAUCAAUUUUCUCAUGAAUAAGUUGUAUUUGUGAUAAUAGGAAUCUUGUUUUUUGAUAAUAAUAUGAAGAAUAUAUCUAUAACAUUGCAAGCUAGCGUCACCAUGACACUUCACGAUAGAUGGAUAAAGCGGCUCAAGAAUCAUUUUAAUAAACAUUAAAAUUUACAUUACUAGACUUGGUAUUCUGGGUAUAGUCAUUUUAGAAACAUUUUUAAUACGUUAUUACACAGUGAAGUCUACUAAAAAACAAGAUAUAAGAAUAUCAUCAAUUAAUAUGAGGAGAAUAUUUAUUGGAAUUCGAUCAAUGACAUAAGAAAGGAGGAAUGUCAAUUAUCGGGUUCCGGAUAAUCCGGUUUUGAAUUUCUUUUAUAUUGGAAUCGGAUCCGGGUUUUGCCAUAUCGGUUGGAGAUUAUUGGAUUCCAGAAAACAUAACACACUGAGGUGUCGUUUGGUUCGCUAGAAUCCAUUGGAAUUAGAUGGAAUUGGAAUUUAAUUCCAUCACUUUCCUUUGUUUGGUUCAAGCUUUCAAAAGGAAUUGGAUUUCUAAACGAGUCAAAUUUUCCUUCUAACGAGGGAAAAUAAAUUUCAUCUAAAAAUUUAAGGAAUUAAAAUUCCUUUCAAAUGAGAAUGUUGAAUGUUACCAUAUUAUCCAUUUUAUUUUUAACACUACAUAUGAAACCUUUCUAUCGCCGCUCCCACCGCCACCUCCUCCUCCACCACCCACCACCAUCGCUACAAACCACCACCACCCACCAUCACCACCACCGGCACCUUCGUUACCGGCACCCUCCACCCAUUAGUACCGUCACCUCCACCACCGCCGACCACUCCACCGCUACCCACAACCUUAUCACCACCUCCGCUACGACCACCACCUCCUCCACCACCACACAUCACCACAGUUACCACCCGCUACACACCACCUCUUCCACCACCCACCACCGCCACAACCACCUAACACCACAACUAUCACCACUACUCUCCACCUCCACCACCAUCACCACCUCUACCACCACACUACCUUCCACCUCCACCACAACUCACCACCGUGACCAUACAAUCACUGCCACCACCACCGUCAUCACCUCCACCACCAACACCAACACCUUCGCCACCACCUUCAUCACCACCACCGUUACUACCACCAUUGCCACCUCCAUCACUACACCACCCACCAUCUCCACCACUACUCAUGACUGCCACCAUCACCAUCACAAUUACUACCACCACCAUCGUCAUCACCUCCGUCACUACCUACCAUCACCUCCGUCGCCAUCAUCAUCACUAUUUCCACCAUCAACAUCAUUGGCACAUUCUGCGAACCAAACGCCACUUGACUUUUUUUUUUCCGGAUUUUGGAUGGAAAUUAUAGGAUUUUUUUUGGAUAAAAAAACUAUUACCAAAAUCGGAUUUCAAUUUUCAAGGUAUUUGAUUCAAAAAGGUAGAUGUUAUUAUCCGUAUCCAAUUCAAAACUGUCUAAUCUUAUUAUUUGAACCCAGUUUUAAAAAAACUCGGAUUGGAUUGAAUUUCAAAAUUCUGAACAAGUUUUUUGUGUACCUACCUCAAUGUUAAAGAAUAAAGGAAUAAUUGUUUGAGAUUUUAUUGUUCAUGAAAAAUAGUAAUGUAUUCGGGCUUAAGAAAAAGACUAGUCUAUAUCCUUAAUUGGAAUUAAGACCGAAAGAUAACUCAUUAGUUAAAAGGAAAAAUAGUUUAUUUAUUGGGAAAAUCCUUAAUUGGAAUUAAGACCGAAAGAGAACUCAUUAGUUAAAAGGAAAAAUAGUUUAUUUAUUGGGAAAAUACUGGCUAUAGACAUUUUUGGGGUUAAAUUCCAAAAUAUAGAUACAAAAAAUUGGAUUUCUGAGUAUAGACAUGGAUUUCGCAGAGCUAUGCUCUGAGGGCUCUGUGGAAUCCCUGUAGCUCUGCGGAAUGACAAAAUCGUAAAUAAAUCAGAGUUAAAAAAAAAAAAGAAAAAAAAAACCUCAAGAUCCAUUCCGCGGAGCUACUUCCGAGGAAUGAACUCAUUCCGCGGAGCUACCAUCGAGGAAUGAACUCAUUCCACGGAGGUAGCUUCGAUGAAUGGAUCUUUAGAAAAAAAAACCACCUCCAAUCAGUGACAGAUCCAGCCCGGAAGUCAAGUGGGGUGCACAUUGACCGUUGACCGAAAGUCAACUGGCGGAUCCAUGAUAGUCCCUGUUAUUCUAUUAAUCAUAUGUUAUUCCUCUGUUUAAAUUAGGAAUGGCAAUGGGUAGCGGGGCAUGCAAUCCCUUCCCCGGACCCAAAACUGAAAAUUGUUCCCAUCCAGGCUAAAAUCUUCCCGGAAACCAGAUUUCGUUACUCAACCAAUAUAGUAAAAAUCAGUUAGAAAAACAAAAUUUUAUUGGUUAAAAACAAUUUAAACUUAGUUUUUCAAUCCGUCACCCAUUUUUCUAAUAACUAAACAGUAUAGCUUAGAAUUUAUAUAACUAAUGGGUAAAACAAAUUAUACCUGUCCACUAAUACAAUCAUCAUCCCUAAAUGUUUGUUUGCUGAAUUAAACUGAUAGUAAUUAUAUUAACUAGUGGACUAAAAUAAUGAAGCGAAACAUAAUUGGAUUUAUAUAUAAGAUAUAUGUUCGAUAUAGUGUACAUGUCUAUUUUACACAAGACCCAUUUAGAUAUGUCCUUGCAAUUAAUCCGAUUAUUUUAAGCCCAAAGCCCAAGUAAACUCAAUCAUAUAACAUAAACCUAAUUCCCAAUUAUGAAACCGAAUCAAAGAAAAUAAAGAGUGUACAUCUCAUACAACAACUUUUCCAUCUCCGACCAUGUUUUCCUUCACGGCGACAAAGUCUAAGUCGGGUGGAAAGCUUGACUCAAACACCUAUGCGACUCCUCACCUACAUCCAUUUAUUCGCCGGAGAAAGCCAUGAGCACCAACAAUAGGCGACAUCCCUUCACACUGAGUUCGCUGGAAAGUUAGUGUUUAUGUAACGACCCAAUUUUCAAGACCAAAAAUUUCAUUUUUAAGUAAUUGACUUGUAAGAACAUUUAUAAGAAAACACCAUCUAAUCAUAACUUUUCGUAAAACCACAACUCAUUUCUGAAAACCAUUCACCAAAAUAAGAAUAAUGUCAGAGUACAAUCCCAAGAAACUCUAUUCCACCCCCUACUGCUACUAUCACAUAUAUCAUAACAUAAACAUAUUAUUAGACAUAUCUGGGGUGUCCGAACUACCCUUCGGUCCUAAGAACCGAACUUGGGGACUUUUCCCCUCCUACUACCACUAUCACAUAUAACAUAUCAUGCCAGCAUAUAAACAUAUCAUCACAUACUUUCAGACAUAUCUGGGGUGUCCGAACUACCCUUCGGUCCUAACAACCGAACUCUACUACUAUCACAUAUAACAUAUCAUGCCAGAAUAUAACAUAUCAGGUAGUAGCAAACCUAGAUGAAUAUCACAAAUACAAUCAUCUAACAUACAACUCCUACUGGUGGGCCGACAUUGUGGUCGUAGACCCACCGCUACCGGAAGGUAACUCACCUCGAACACGUAGCUACUGAUAACGCGUGUGGGGAGUCUCUGUCUGCUGCUGCUCCAGAAAUCCACCAGCUACAAUCCCCACAAACACUUAGUCAGAAAGUGACAUCUACUCUUAGGGUAAAAUGACUAUUCUACCCCCAAUCAAGUCCAAGUCAAAGUCAACUUCAAGCUGACCCGACUCGCCGAGUUGGACCGUCAACUCAUCGAGUCCCUAACCCUUUACUCGUCCUCACCCAUGACUCGAAUCGUUGAGUUUGGCGAUGAAUCGACGAGUUCCUCUUCUAUAAGAACAUCGAAUGAUCCUUCAUCCGACUCACUGAGUUGUAUGAACAACUCGUCGAGUUCAUCUUCAAACUUAAGGAGAUUGCCUUGGACUCGCCGAGUCUGAUCUAGCACUCGUCGAGUCCCAUGAACUCCAGGUCUAAAACUAAGUCCAAUGCGCUGGUUCACUCUUUCAGUCCUGCUACAACCCCUCUAACACCCAAUUGAGUCCUUUUGACCCUCAACAGGUAUGGGACCCAAAGCCUUGGACUCGUCGAGUCCCAAGAACGGACUCGCCGAGUCGAUAACGUCCAAGCUCUAUUUCCUCGAUUUAUGAUGUACAACUUUUGACCAAAAGAUAGAUCCAAGCCCCUAAGCUUGAUCUAGCACGUAAAGUUUCGAACUUUACGUGCACGCAUGGGAAUUUUGAGCCAAAAAGGCUCUAAAAUGACUCUUGUGGUGCAUGGGACCUUCCUUGGGUGCAAAAGCAAACCAAAUUUUCUUUGUGACUCCUUCCAAGACUUAGAUUCGAAGUCUUGACCCCCAACCAUGUUUGCAAUCAUGGUUGGCCACCUCAUCUGGCUUAAAAAGCCCUAAAUCUUCCCCAAAAAGGGAUCUAACAAAUGAACAAGUAAGGUACAAACUUUAUACCUUUCAAAGACUGCAAAUGACGAACUAAACUCGAAUCCUUCAGUCUCCUCUUGAUCCUUCUAUGCUCUUCCUUCUUCCUUGAGGUCAAAAACCACAAAAAUCACUCAAAAGCCUUAGAUCUUGCACCAAAACACUUAGGGUUCGCUAUGGAGGGUCUCUAGGAGCAUUAGGGACGAGUAAGGGCUGAAAGAGAUGAUUAAAUAGGGUGCAAACCCUCAUAUUAGGGUUUUUGUCCAGCCAGGGCCUACUCGUCGAGUCCGGGACGCGACUCGUCGAGUCCAUCACUUAAGUCCCGCGUUCUGUCCCGCUUCUACUCGGCGAGUUGGUCCUUCAACUCGCUGAGUCCAAGGCCAAAAAUGCAAAAUACUAAGAAAGAAAUGUGUACCAAGAACCAGGUGCUACAGUUUAUAUCCAGAGACAGGUGUGUGUGGCGUCAGACGGUGGUGAGUUCUUGCAAUUGGUAACUAUGUUAAAAAACGAGAGAUAAGAAACAUAAAAGAGAGAAAUAAAUUGUUGGAUAAAGGGUAAAGUGGGGACCAAAUAUUUCCAAGCGGAGACCAACGAUUAAUAAAUAAUAAUAAUAUUUUCAUUAUAUAUUUAUUACUAGUGGAAAAUUUUUAAGUGAGGGCCAUGCACCCCACUACUUCUUAACUGCAUCCGCCACUGCCUCUAAUGAUUCUUUUAUGUAAAAACUUCCGAUUAAAUGACCAAUUUUUUCCCACCUCACAUUUAUUCCAAACAUUGUCAAGAAAAAUUCAUACUAUCACAAUCUUUUUUUGAAAAUAAUUAAUUAGGGAAUGAGUAUAAACCCCGAAGAAUGGAUGUGAAAAAAUAAAAUCUGAAGAUCCAUUCCUCAAAGCUACCUCCACAGAAUGAGUUCAUUCCUCGGAGGUAGCUCCGUGGAAUGGAUCUUGAGGUUUUUUUUUAAUACCCUGAUUUAUUUACAAUUUUGCCAUUCCGCGGAACUACAAUGGAUUCCGCGGAGCCCUCAUAGUUUACCUCCGUGGAAUUCAUGUCUAUACCCGAAAAUCUAAAUUUUUGUGUCUAUAUUUUGAAAUUCAACCCCAAAAAUUGUCUAUAGCCGGUAUUUUCCCAUGUUUAUUUGAAAAACUAGUUGUUUAAGAACAAACAUGCAAGAUCAUUAAGUAGGCACUAAAUUACUAUUAGCGGCAUCGGCUAAGGAAAAUGGAAAUGCCCUAAAUUUGAUAUGGUCUUCAAUAGUAAUAUGUCGUUUCAUAGCAUAACACACCACAUGUAACUCUUUUGAGGUGACUGUGUGGAUCAUCAUCCUAUAAGAAAAAUAAGCCUAGACUUUCUUGGAGUUCUCUCCCAAGUUGGGAUUAUCGUCAGUCUUGAGCACAUAUUGGGUGUCCGACCGUACAGGACCUGUGUCGUUACAGAUACUAAAAUUUUAAUAUGUCACUAAAUUGUCGAUCUUCGUCGCUAAUCCGUCAUUGCUAAUCCAAAAUUUCAGGGAUCUAUUUUUUAUUUUUGCUUAGGGCCUUUAAAUCAAUGGAUCGACUCUAGUUGAGAUUGUUGGUUAUUUUCAUAACCGAAACAUAAACGCAGAAGCAUAAACUUUGGAUCUUUAAUCUCGAAUCUGAUUAAAAGAAAGCUUAAACAAUAAGAGCGAUUAUAUACCUUGUUCCUUUGAGAUUUUCGGAUCCGGAGAUUAGGAUGAGUUUUCCGUUUGAUCUCGAGAAUCUUUCUAAAAUCCCAAAACCCUAAAAUAAAGUUUUUGUAUGUAUUUUCGUAUAUCGUAAAUCUGCUUCUCAUCACGUAUUUAUAUAGAUGGAGAUAUACCUGAAUGUGAGAGAUAUUAGGGAUUUAGGAGAUCUUGAGUCAAACCGGGAACUCAACCUACAAGAUAAACAUGGUAAAUGUGUAUCUUUAUUUAUUAAUAAAAUCGGUUCACCAACAACUUUAUAUAAUUUCCAUAAUAAUAUUAAAUUAAUGAUAACAUUAUUUAUAUACAUUUAUUAGUGGUCCUAAAGUAUCCAACAUGGAUAUAUUUGGAUAACUACUGCAUAAAGGGUGUUAGGAGACAUUUGGUGUUGUUGACUCUCACAUUGUUCUUUCAUAGGCCACAAUAAGUGUUGUGCAUGGUGAUUCAGUUUCUUACUUUCAAAAUCAAUUUUCGAUGUGGUUGAUUCAUGUAUACUUUGCUUGAAAAUGAGAUAUCUUUCUAAAUGUUGAUAAUAGCUUGUGACGAUGAUGGGGCAAAGGAUUCGACGAAGCUUAACUCGUUUCUUUGGUCUCCUGGUUGAUUUUUGAUUUUCGUAUCAACUUCAAGUAGUGCACUUAUACGAAAAUAUCGCGACAUAAAACAUUUAAUUGUUGUAUCCCAACAAAAGUGUCAAUUUAUUGGAUGUUAGAUCCAACAAAGAUAAUAAUAAAAGUAAACCAACUUAUGCACACAAAAUAUUGUAUGAAUGGAAAUAAGGCUCGUGUUCUCACAAAUACAAAAUAACAUCCUCAUGCUAAAUCUGAAGACAUUUUAAGGCCCGACGAGGCUCGACGAAUCCGAGGUGGAUUCGCAAACACCGCAACGCUACCUCGGUAAGCAUUGUUCAGAGAGACGAUACUUAACACCUUUCUACCGAGUUCAACACCCAUUCUUCACCUAAUGAGCUAACGGCUCAUUUAAAAGAAAAAAUAAAAAAAACUAUAAGUACAACCCUACAUUCCUUCACAUACCACAUCAAAACCUUAUUCUCCACUCUUCUAAAAGUCAUCUUCAUCUUCUUCAGUUUCGCACCCGCUACUGUUACCUGGGAGCAGUUCAGGGACAUGUUUCGCACCCGCUACGUUCCUCGUGUUGAGCGGGAGCGGCUUGCUCAGGAGUUCUUGUGUUUGAGACAGGAUGGAGAGUCAGUGAUGGAGAUUACCCAAAUGUUCACAGAGAGGGCUAUGUUUUGCCCGGAGUUUGCGUCGGAGCAAUCUCAGAUGACCCAUUAUCUGAGUAUGCUCAAGACGGAUAUACGACAGUUUGUGGCUACACAAUGUUGUGAUACCCUCCUGGAUCUUCAGGAAGCCGCGAGGCGACAUGAGUUGGAGAUAGAGCUGCAGCUGAAGGAGCAACGUCAGGCACUGGCCCAGUCGCAGCCAGCGCCUAAGUGGUCUAAGACCGCUGAUACACGAUCUGGGGGUCAGCAGAGCCGCACUUGUGGAAAGUGCGGCAUGGUUCAUUAAGGGUUUUGUCGAGCAGGAGGUGGAUGCCACAAAUAUGGCAAGGAGGGGCACUAUGCCAAGGACUACCGUCAGUCCGCCCCUCCACCAAAUAUGAGGAUUUGUUACCUUUGUUACCAGGUUGGUUACGUGAAUACCAACUGUCCGCAGCUCGCCGGUAAGUCGGCGUUGGGAUCUACUCCAGUUGCUGGGAAGAUUGGUGAUGGGAGGCCAGUCAAGGUGGAGCCUCCGAAGGCUCAGGGUCACGCCUUCCAGCUCACGGCCGAGGAGGCCAAGGCAGCACCGGAUGUGGUUGCUGGUAUGUUUCUAUUCUCUAUCUCAGUUAUUGUAUUUGUAUUAUGCUUAUCGGUUGUACCUAUGACUAGGUACGUUUUUAGUAAAUUCUUUGCCUGCUUUGGUUUUAUUUGACUCGGGGGCGAGUCGGUCGUUCAUAUCUCGGACUUUCAGUAGAGAGUUUAAUGUGCCCAUGGAUGAUCUUGAGUGCUCGUUGCGGGUUUCGAUCGCCAACGCGUACAGGGUUUUUGCUUCUUGGGUUUACCGGGGGUGCGAGUUGGAGAUUUUCGGGGUGCCCUUCCCGAUAGACUUGAUUCCUAUUCCCAUGAGGGAUGUAUGCGUGAUCGUAGGGAUGGAUUGGCUUAGCCAUUUUGGCGCCAUGAUCGACUGUGAGGGACAGCGGGUGGUGGUUCGAACCCCAAGUGGGGGAGAACUUGUAGUAUACGGUGAGGGCACCAGGUUGGGAUCAGGGUUCUGUUUGGCGGCCAGAGCUUGACAGUAUAUUCAGCACGAGUGUGCCGGUUAUUUGGCAUAUGUGAUAGAUACACGGGAUAGGGAGCAUCUCUCUGUUUCAGAGGUCCCGGUGGUGAGGGAGUUUGCUGAUGUGUUUCCGAAAGAGUUACUCGGGGUGCCUCCGGAGAGGCAGGUUGAGUUCAGGAUUGAUCUAGUGCCAGGUGCGGCCCAUAUCGCCAAGGCAUCAUACCGUUUGGCACCGACUGAGAUGCAGGAGCUGUCAUCUCAGUUGCAGGAAUUGUUGGGUAAGUAGUUUAUUUGUCCGAGUAGUUCCCCCUGGGGAGCGCCGAUCCUCUUCGCCAGAAAGAAGGAUGGUUCGCACAGGAUGUGCAUUGACUACAGGGAGUUGAACAAGCUAACGGUGAGAAACCGUUAUCCACUCCCGAGGAUAGAUGAUCUUUUCGAUCAGCUGCAUGGUGCAUCUUGGUUUUCCAAGAUCGAUUUGAGAUCGGGAUAUCACCAGGUCAGGGUGAGGGAGGAGGACGUAGAGAAGACCGCGUUUCGAACUCGUUAUGGUCAUUACGAGUUCGUGGUGAUGCCGUUUGGGCUCACCAACGCACCGGCAGUGUUCAUGGAUUUGAUGAACCGAGUCUGCAGACCGAUGCUUGAUCGCUCGGUCAUUGUAUUCAUAGAUGACAUCUUGGUGUAUUCCAAGACCCGGGAGCAGCAUGAGGAGCAUCUCAGGGAGCUGCUGGAGGUUUUGAGGCGAGAACGACUGUACACCAAGUUCCUGAAAUGCGAGUUUUGGUUACGAGAGGUCCAGUUCCUCGGACAUCUCAUUAACCAAGAGGGGAUUCUGGUCGAUCCGGCCAAGGUAGAUGCAGUUAUGCAGUAGGAGGUUCCGAAAUCCCCCUUGGACAUCAGGAGUUUCUUGGGUUUAGUUGGGUACUACCGGAGAUUCAUUCGUGAUUUCUCCAAGAUAGUGGUACCCCUCACUCAUCUUACGAGGAAGGGGGUGGAUUUUCGGUGGGGUCUAGAGCAGCAGAGGGCAUUUGAGACCCUGCGGCAGUGUUUAUGCGAAGCGCUGGUGUUGACACUCCCCGAGGGAGUAGAGGAUUUUGUAGUAUUUUGUGAUGCAUCCAUCACAGGCUUGGGGGCAGUCCUCAUGCAGAGGGGACGAGUGGUAGCCUAUGCGUCGCGGCAGCUGAAGCCGCAUGAGACUAGGUAUCCGACGCACGAUCUUGAGUUGGGAACGGUGGUUUUCGCUCGCACGAUUUGGAGGCACUAUCUGUACGGGGUCCGUUGUACGAUAUACACGGAUCACAAGAGUUUGAGGCACAUCAUGGACCAGCCAAACUUGUACAUGAGGCAGCGCAAGUGGCUGGAUAUGGUCAAGGACUAUGAUUGCGAGAUCCUUUACCAUCCUCGUAAAGCAAACGUGGUUGCGGCUGCUUUGAGCCGCAAGUCUGCUGGGUCUUCUACCCUAGCCAGAUGUAUGAUGAUAGCGGUGGAUUCCCCGUUGGUGGGUUUGGUCAAAGAUGCUCAGAUCGAGGGUAUGAAACCAGAGAACUGGAAGUUGGAAAGGAUUAAGGGCGAAAGCGCCCGGUUUGUUCAGUAUUGCCGCGGGCUAUUGACCCGAUAUGGUCGGGUUUGGGUUCCGAUGACCGGAGGAGUUAGGCAGACAGUGAUGGAGGAGGCUCAUAAGUCUCGUUUUUCUAUUCACUUUGGGGCUACCAAGAUGUACCGUGAUUUGAGUUCGAAUUAUUGGUGGCCUGGUAUGAAGCGGGAUAUCGCUUGGUACAUUGAGAGGUGCUUGACCUGUAGGAUGGUCAAGCCCGAGCACCAGAGGCCGCAUGGUAAGCUGCAGCCUCUGGAGAUUCCCAUGUGGAAAUGGGAACUGAUCGCGAUGGAUUUAACUGAUUGCCAAGAACGGCAAAGGGAUUCGACGCUAUAUGGGUUAUCGUGGGUCGAUUGACCAAAAGUGCUCACUUCCUAGCCAUACGGGAGAGUUCGUCUGCAAAAAAGUUGGCCGACCUAUACGUCCGCGAGAUUGUCUCUCGCCACGGAGUCCUGGUUUCCAUUGUUUCAGAUCGGGAUGUCAUGUUUACUUCACGAUUUUGGCAGAAGGUCCACGAGGAACUAGGUACGAGGCUGCAUUUCAGUACGGCGUUCCAUUCGCAGACUGACGGACAGAGUGAGCGUACCAUCCAGACCCUCGAAGAUAUGUUGAGGGCAUGUGUCAUUGAUUUCGGUGGGAGUUGGGAUUCCUACUUACCGCUUGUUGAGUUCGCCUACAACAACAACUACCAUUCCAGUAUUGGCGCCCUGCCUUUCGAGCUGUUGUAUGAGCGAAAGUGUAGGACCCCAGUCUGUUGGGGUGUAACACCCAAAGUUUUGAAGGCCGAGAAAGGAAAGAAAACCUUAACUUUAAAGGGGGACUCGGCGAGUCCAAGGAGGAACUCGGCGAGUCCAAGCGGGAUCCGGGUCGGGGAGUAAGUGACCGACUCGGCGAGUCGGCCAAGGAGACUCGGCGAGUCAGGUCUGUUCGAGGAAAACCCUAAAUUCGGGACUUGGGGCCUAUUUAAGCGCCUCAUUCUCUUCCCUAGGGUUCCUUUACUGCCUCUUUAACCCAGAAUGCCAAACCCUAGCCGUCAUAUCCAUUGAUUGAGCCAAUUGUUGUCUUGAGGAGUGCAUUAAAGCUUGGAGAAGGAAGAAGGAUCUUGAAAGUGCAAGGAGGGGGCUAUAGAUCUGAGAUUGGGAAGAUAUUUCUGAACAUCUGAAGGUAAUAAGUCGUUUCCCCCUUCCUUUAGAUCUAUUUUGGUUGUGAGUUUUGGGGCUUUUAGCCAUGAGUAGUGAUCCAUUUGAGUUAGAAGCCGGAUCUGGAGUUGCUACUUCAGAUCUAAGUAUAUUUUGGUCUUGGAAAGCAUAAAGUUUCAGCCCUUGAGUUGAUUAUGGAGCCUCUUUGCCUUAAACCCUAGUUUAUGGUGUAUUUUGCCUAGAUCUCCUUCUCUACACGUAAAGUUUGCAACUUUACGUGAGGAAUAGGCUUGGGAAGGGUAGAUCUACAGUUUGGAGUCCAUGCAUGACUCAAAAGUCCUCUGCAUGUAUGGAGAUCUGAAUGGACUCGGCGAGUCCUUUGAGUGGACUCGGCGAGUAGCAUGAAGAUUUGGAGGAACUCGACGAGUGGGAUGAACAGCUCGUCGAGUCAGAUGAAGUUGGGCAAGAACUCGACGAGUUGGAUGAACAACUCGGCGAGUCUGUUGAAGGUUGUCUUGGACUCGGCGAGUCUGUUCUUCGCGAAACCCCCCAAACCCUUCGAGUUGAGACUCGAAUCAGUGAGUCGAAUGGAGACUCGGUGAGUUGGACAGGUCAGCACUUGAAAAUUGGUAGACUCGGCGAGUCAUGGACUGACUCCGUGAGUCGAAUCGCGAAUAGAAGGACUCUGAACAUAUGAACUCGGCGAGUCAAUAGGGUGACUCGGCGAGUAGGGUUGACCUGGAAGGUUGACUUUGACCAGGACUUUGACUUUGACCAGAGUUGACUUGGUUGUCUUUCGGGGGUCAGUUAGACUCAGUAUUGCUUUGAUAUUGGUAGCUCGGGGAGCGAGUGGUGCAGGAGUUCAGAGAGUUGCUGGGCAGCAACUAGUGGGUUCAUCAUCCAGUUCAGCCAGUGCAGGUGAGUUUCCCUUUGUAUGAAUGGGUCUACGGCCACAAUGCCGGCCCAUGUAGUUAUGAGUAGAAGACCCGGGGGUUAGCCCUAGGCACAGUAUGCUAGUAUGAUAUUCGGGACGAGGUCCAAUGAUAGAGGGCGGGUGCCCAAGGAAUGGUUUAUGUGAUAGUUUAUACUUGUUGUCUGUGUGAUACUUGUAUGUGCCUGGUAGGGAGGUGAGUGUGGGCGAGGUCCCGUAUCUCACCAAUAGCAGAGUGUGGAUGGUGUUCCACAUCUCAGUAGCAGCAGAUCAGGGGCGAGGCCCAAGUUAGGGAAGGAGUGAGGGUGGGCUGGGCCCGUACCUCACUAUCAGCAGGAGUAUGGACGGGGUUCCAUGACUCAUCAGUAGCAGGACAAGGGCGGGGCCCAGAGAUAGGCGAGGCCUUAGGACAAGAUCCGUUAGUAUGUGUUUAGCUUAUGUGAUGUGAUGUGAUAUGUUUAUGUGCUAUUAUAUGUUAGUGGGCGAGGCCCUGUGACAGGCGAGGCCUAAGUGAAACAGAUCUGUAUCCGAGCGGGGCUCGAAGCCAGGCGGGGCCUGGAGUGGCGGGGCCGUUGUAGCGGGCGAGGCCCGAGGUAGGGGGCGAGGCCCAGAAAUAGCAGGCGUGGCCCAGUACGUGCAAUAUGUGGUUAUGCAUGGUAUGUGGUAGGGUGGGGAACUCACUAAGCUUCAUGCUUACGGUUUCCAUUUUUGGUUUCAGGUACUUCCGGUAGCGGAGGGAAGAGCUCGGGGUGAUCGCAUGGCACACACCAUAGAUUAGACAGCCUGGGAAUGUUUACUCUGAUAACGAACAUGUAUUUUGGAAACUAAUACUCUGUUUAUGUUUUGAAAUGAUGAAUUUGCUUAAAGUAAUAUUUUAUUAAAAGAAAUUUUUAGUCUUGAAUUUUGGGACGUUACAUGGGGUGAGGUUGGGCACAGGGUGAUAGGUCGGACAGAGGUAGUUCUGCAAACUACCGAGAUGAUACAACAGAUUAGACAGCGACUGCAGACCGCUCAGAGCCGGCAGAACAGUUAUGCGGACCGGUGCCGAUCUGAGCUGGAAUUUCAGGUGGGUGACAUGGUCCUCCUGAAGGUCUCACCCUGGAAGGGUGUGAUCCAUUUCAGGAAGAAGGGAAAGUUGGGUCCCGCUAUAUUGGGCCGUUCAGGAUUGUUGCCAGGGUGGGGAAGGUGGCUUAUUGGUUAGAGCUCCCGGAAGAGCUUAGCCGGAUCCAAAACACAUUUCAUGUUUCGCAAUUGUGAAAGUGCGUUAUGGACCAGGAGGCAGUGGUGUCGUUGGAUGACAUUCAGGUCGACGGGCGCUUGAACUAUGUGGAAAGGCCUGUGGCGAUUUUGGAAAGGAAGAAUAAGAUUCUGUGAAAUAAGGAAAUACCUUUGGUAAAGGUACAAUGGGAACAUCGGAAGGGAACCGAGUGGACGUGGGAGUCGGAGGCAGAGAUGCGCGAACAUUACCCGACAUUUUUUAUCCCAGCGGACUUCGAGGGCGAAGUCUAGUUCAAGUUGGGGAGAGUUGUAAUGCCCCGACUCUCAAGUAGUACUUUAAAUAAAAUAUAUUUUUUAGGUUUUGGCCCUACUCGUCGAGUAGCAAUGGGUUGGAUCGCGAAUUAAGGGAUCUACUCAGCGAGUCCUUUAUGGGACUCGACGAGUAGAAGCUAGAAAGUGAAACCCUAAUUCCUGGGGUUUGCACCCCUAUUUAAAGAAGCUCAAGCCUCUUUCAGUUCCUUUGCAUCCCCCUUUUCAUCUCUAACUCGUGUGUGUGUGUGUGUUAUUGUGUGUUGAAGCUUUGUGAGAAGAUUUUGGUGUAGGAGUUUGGGAAACAAGUGAUUGAGGCAAGGAGCUGGGAGGAGACCCGAAUUCUACUGUUGUGGACAUCUCUUGGGAAGGUAUUAAACCAUUAUCCUUAAUUAUUUCAGUCUAGAUCUUAUCUUUGAAUGAGUUUUAGGGUUUUAUAAGGGUAUCAAGUUCGUAUGACAAUCUAUGGGCUAGAUCUGAAGUUGUAACUUCAGAUCUGGAUCCUCCUAGGAUUAUACAAGCAUAAAUUUCUAGUUUUAGUCGAGAUUAAGGUUCCCUUGGUCCAUGAACACCCAUUAAAAGUUUGGUUUUGGCAUUAAGAUCUUGUAAAGCAAUGCAUGCAAGUAAAGUUUGCAACUUUACGUGAUAAGCAGACCUAAGGAAGUUGGAUCUGCAAUUUGGGGCCUUGCCAUGGCUUAAAGACGUCUGCAUGUUAAAAUUACUAAAGGGACUCGGCGAGUCAUAUGAAGAUGUGCAUUAAACUCGACGAGUUGUUUGAAUAACUCGGCGAGUUAGAUGAAGAUGUCCAUGAAACUCGAUGAGUUGAAGAAUAACUCGGUGAGUCGGAUGAGUUUUAGCUAAGGAUAUGGUUGCGUGUAUACCCAUCAAGUUGCAAGGAGGAAACUCGACGGGUGGCCUUAAGGUUUGAUCGAGAUUCGAAGGAACUCGACGAGUCACCCCGAUGACUCGGCGAGUUGGAAUGUGCUCCAAGGACUCGGCGAGUGGCCGAGUAUACUCGGCGAGUUGAGGUCAACAUGGACUGUUGACCUUGAUCGAGGACUUUGACCUUGAUCAGGAAUUUACUAGGGUAUUAUGGAGUGCCUUAUAAGGUUAAGGACUUAUGAGUAUAUUGUGCUAUGGUUAUAGGUGGUGGAGCCUGUGUCAAGUGAUUCGAUAGUUGGAGUUUACCUUUCGAGUUGACAUCUGCGAGGGGAGUUAUCCUCACUAUAUCAGUAGGGUCUAUGGCACCAAGGCCGACCCUUUGAUUGUUAUUGUUAUGGUAUGCUGCAUGUGAUUAUGAUUUGUUCCAUUGGAAUCAGGGUAGACAAUAUGAUAUGCUCUUAUGAUCCUUAGGGAUUGGUAUGUUAGUGACCUGUUAGGUCAAUGCUCUAGUUAAGAGUGAACUCUAUGAUUGAUGGCCAGUGAGAUAAAUAUGUUUGCUAUUUGUAUAUGCCAGUAUAUGAUAGUAUGCGUACAUGGUUAUUUGCUUGUUGGUUGGGUUGAGGCGGUCCUGCUUUGAGCGGAAGGCCAACACACCCUCUGAGCGGUCCGGGGAGACUGUAGGCCCAUGUAGCGGACCAAUCAUGUCGAAGGCUCGGGAUAGUUCGAGACAAAAUGUAGGCCCAUUAGGGUGGACCAGUCCGGCCGAUGGCCCAGUAUGUAUGUUGUUUGAUUGAUCGCUAUUGUUAUGGUUUCUGCCAGUGUGGUAUUGGUAUUUUGGGGGUAGCUCACUAAGCCCUCGGGCUUACAGUUUUCAGUUUAUUGUUUCAGGUACUUUAGGAGAUAGAGGGAAGGCGAAGGCGUGACCGUACCGCUCCUCAUCCUCAUGAUCUGUUUUGGGACACUCUGAUGAUAAAUGAAUUGGAAAUGUUUUGUAAAAACAAUUACUAUUUGGUUCUUUUGUUAAUAUCAAAAGUUUAAAUUUGGCGCAAAUUUUUUGGAUGUUACAGCAUGUCCAUAUUUCCAACGACAUGUAAAUUCUAGAUGUGCAAUUGUGACAACCCAAGUUGUCCCGUUACAUUUCCCCGUUACCGUUAACGGAAUAUUCCACUAUAUAAAAGUUCCGUUAAUUAGAGGGCGUCAAUUUAAUAAAUAUUCCAUUUGGUUACAUUUAACAUGCCGUUAAGUCNGUGAUAAAAGGAAAUAAAAACACAUAACACCCAUUUCCAUUUAUUUGGAAAAUGUUAAGUUUUAUUAUUACGACCACUAAAUCGGGUGCGACCAAAAGCCCCGUUUAACGGCAGUAUCGGGUAAAAUUCCACUGAGCCCCGACUCGGAACCCUAUAUAAGGGUGAGUGGAGUCCAUUGGAGACUUUUUACACUCUCUCUCUAGACCCGUUUUCACCCCGAAUCCGCAACCCAACGCUUCCAAAUUGUAAGUCCGCUUACCCUAGCUUGUUCUAAACAUUACUAGCUGUAGUUAUAGCCCAAAAACCAUCCAAGAAGGCAUGGGAUAAGGAGUUUACGGCCCAGGAACACUCUAGGGCCGUAAACCCCUAAAAUGGUGCCAAACAUGCCUUUAAACUUGCCCUUAAGCUUGGAAACUAAUUAGGGAUCUAGCCUAGGAGUGUUUAAACAUCAAAACACAAUGAUUUAGGGCAUAAAAGUGAGUUUACGGCCCAAGCACAUGCUUAGGCCGUAAACCCCUCAAAACCUUGUCAAAAUGCCUCCAAAACACUCCCAAACCACACUAGGGCUUAACACAUAAAUUAGGGGCUUAUUCUCUUGGGUUUAGAUCACUUAAACAAUUAGAAUUAGAGGAUUAAUAGGAGUUUACGGCCCAGACAUGUGUCAAGGCCGUAAACUCCCCAAACCAAGCCAAAAUGUUGGUUUUUGUCCCCCAAAUGACCUUAGACUAUUUCCAUAAAAUACUAGGAAGGAUUUAAGGACUUAAACACAUGAAAUGGAGGGGUAAAAAGGAGUUUACGGCCCAAGCAAGUGUCUAGGCCGUAAACUCCCCAAAACACAUCCAAAUGUUAGAUUUAAUCCCCCAAAAUAGCAUCACACUUCAUUAGAAAUUGCUAGAAAGGUAAUAGGGGCUUGAAACUUCACAAAACACUAAGGGUGAGAGUUUACGGCCGUAAACUCCCUUAGGAGUGUCCCUAGGCCGUAAACUCCAAGUUAAUGCCCUUAGAAGCCUCAAACCCACUCAUGCCUUUUNNNNNNNNNNNNNNNNNNNNNNNNNNNNNNNNNNNNNNNNNNNNNNNNNNNNNNNNNNNNNNNNNNNNNNNNNNNNNNNNNNNNNNNNNNNNNNNNNNNNNNNNNNNNNNNNNNNNNNNNNNNNNNNNNNNNNNNNNNNNNNNNNNNNNNNNNNNNNNNNNNNNNNNNNNNNNNNNNNNNNNNNNNNNNNNNNNNNNNNNNNNNNNNNNNNNNNNNNNNNNNNNNNNNNNNNNNNNNNNNNNNNNNNNNNNNNNNNNNNNNNNNNNNNNNNNNNNNNNNNNNNNNNNNNNNNNNNNNNNNNNNNNNNNNNNNNNNNNNNNNNNNNNNNNNNNNNNNNNNNNNNNNNNNNNNNNNNNNNNNNNNNNNNNNNNNNNNNNNNNNNNNNNNNNNNNNNNNNNNNNNNNNNNNNNNNNNNNNNNNNNNNNNNNNNNNNNNNNNNNNNNNNNNNNNNNNNNNNNNNNNNNNNNNNNNNNNNNNNNNNNNNNNNNNNNNNNNNNNNNNNNNNNNNNNNNNNNNNNNNNNNNNNNNNNNNNNNNNNNNNNNNNNNNNNNNNNNNNNNNNNNNNNNNNNNNNNNNNNNNNNNNNNNNNNNNNNNNNNNNNNNNNNNNNNNNNNNNNNNNNNNNNNNNNNNNNNNNNNNNNNNNNNNNNNNNNNNNNNNNNNNNNNNNNNNNNNNNNNNNNNNNNNNNNNNNNNNNNNNNNNNNNNNNNNNNNNNNNNNNNNNNNNNNNNNNNNNNNNNNNNNNNNNNNNNNNNNNNNNNNNNNNNNNNNNNNNNNNNNNNNNNNNNNNNNNNNNNNNNNNNNNNNNNNNNNNNNNNNNNNNNNNNNNNNNNNNNNNNNNNNNNNNNNNNNNNNNNNNNNNNNNNNNNNNNNNNNNNNNNNNNNNNNNNNNNNNNNNNNNNNNNNNNNNNNNNNNNNNNNNNNNNNNNNNNNNNNNNNNNNNNNNNNNNNNNNNNNNNNNNNNNNNNNNNNNNNNNNNNNNNNNNNNNNNNNNNNNNNNNNNNNNNNNNNNNNNNNNNNNNNNNNNNNNNNNNNNNNNNNNNNNNNNNNNNNNNNNNNNNNNNNNNNNNNNNNNNNNNNNNNNNNNNNNNNNNNNNNNNNNNNNNNNNNNNNNNNNNNNNNNNNNNNNNNNNNNNNNNNNNNNNNNNNNNNNNNNNNNNNNNNNNNNNNNNNNNNNNNNNNNNNNNNNNNNNNNNNNNNNNNNNNNNNNNNNNNNNNNNNNNNNNNNNNNNNNNNNNNNNNNNNNNNNNNNNNNNNNNNNNNNNNNNNNNNNNNNNNNNNNNNNNNNNNNNNNNNNNNNNNNNNNNNNNNNNNNNNNNNNNNNNNNNNNNNNNNNNNNNNNNNNNNNNNNNNUCUCUACCUCUAGUUCUACACUUACAUUAGAAACCCACUAUUUGGAAGUCUCUACCCACUAUUUGGGAUGCAUCUUCAGGACACGGCCUUCUCCGUCGUCUAGUUGGUAACCAGAGUCUCCUGUAGGGAGAGCGGACAUUGUGUGUAUAGAUCUAUACGGGAUUGACAACCCCGCACCCAGACUGCUAGCUACAGUCCCGGCCUACCAAGCCAACGGGUGACAAAUGUCACAUUUUAGACGCUUGUAGGGCGUCUGGUACUCUAGUCAGUAUGGUUACGAGUAUCCCGGGUUACCUUAUAAUUCAUUGGCUUUAAGGUAACGGUAUUUCGCCAGCAAUUUACACUGUAUGCUGGUAACUCAUUUUCAGAGUCACACUGUUUUGAACUUACAAGACGUAUCUUUCAUUUGAUGCUGUCUGGGGUCUGUCUCCACUGUAUUCACAGAAUCCACUGUGUUCACUGUGUUCACUGUUUUAGACCUCGCUAGACGUAUCUUUCAUUUGAUAUUGUCUGCGGUCUGUAUUCACUGUUGUAGACCUUACUAGUUGUACCUUUCAUUUGGUACCUUUCAUUUGGUACCUUCUGGGGUCUAUGUCUCCACUUGUUAGACUGAACCAGGCGUGUCGUUCGUUUGAUACUUUCCUGGAGUCUAUGGUUCCUUGCCUUAGUCAGCAGUCCUCAUUGCUGAGGCAUAUGAUAUCCCCUGAUGUCGUUUGCUUUCCUCAAUAAUCAAAUUCAGUAUUUUGAUAAUGAUAGCAACUUACGGAAAACUACUUUUUACCACACAUCACUGACCAGUCUUGGUAGAAGGCUGCUAUUAUUAAAGAAAAUAUAGGAUUUUCUGGAAAGGACUCUAAUACACUGAAAUCUCUUAAACUACUACUUUCAUUAAAGUUAUUUGAAUGAAAAUGUCACUAAAUGCUUAUGAACUCACCAGCAUUUGUAAAAAUGCUGAUACUCGCUUUUCAAAUAACUUGUAUUCUCAGGUUAGCAUUAGACAGAUACAUCCCAGGAGUAGUUAACGAAGAUAGCUUAUUACCUUUCUAUACUUAUUAUAUUUGUCUGUAUUACCUUGUUGUAUUGUAAUGUAACCAUGUAAAAAUUAUUACUAUUAAUGCAAUGUUUUGUUGUACUUCGAUUACUAUAUGCAUGUGUUGUGAUACUUGACAUGACGUCAUCCACCCCAAAACGUUUCCGCCGUUCCGGUUUUGGGGUGUGACAGCAAUUGAUUUUACCCCCUUACAAAAUGCACCGCCGUACUUCAUCAACUACCAUAUGUCACUUUCCCCAAUGCACUAGAUGGGAAUUUUAGGAUGUCCGGAUGUACUGCAUGACAAAACCUUCACAAAUUUUGUAAGUAUAACAUGAGAUUGUAUUGUCCACGAUAUUUACGCAAACCUACUUGUAGUGACAUCCAACAAUCAUAUACUCAUCAUUCGAAUGUGACGACUUCCCUGGAAUGUUAGUAAACCUAGAUUGUCUCCACUAGGAAUGGGGCAAUUGCCUGAAUGCACAUCAAUGGCAAUACACCCGAUAUGAUCAUGGUUAUCCAACUAUCAUAUUUGAAGCAGUGGCCUCACAUGAUUUGUGGAUAUGUCACACAUUCUUUGGUUCUGUUGGUUCUCUGAAUGACAUAAAUGUGCUUAACAUGUCUCCGUUAUUCAACGACAUGUAUAACGGGACCGCAUCAGAUUCUUCGUUUGAUGUGCGUGGACAUUAUAUAGGUACGAGUAUUAUCUCGUGGAUGAGAUAUAUCCGAAGUGUUCUUGUUUUGUGAAGUCAUUGUCUUGUCCUAAUGAUCGAAAAAGGUUAAGUUUAAGAGAGCUCAAGAUAAGACAAGGAAGGAUGCUAAACAAGUGUUUGACUCUCUUAAAAAACGUUGACAUAUAUUUAAAUAUCAUUCACUUUUUGUUGACGAGAAGAAAAUGAGUGAGAUGAUGUAUACUUGUAUCAUAUUGCAUAAUAUGAUUCUCAAAGAUGAAAGAAAUGAAUAUGUGAGUAUAAUGGAAACGAGAUCGUUCCAUCGACACAAACAUUUGAGGUUGGAAGCGACAAGUACUUGUCGAGCAUGCAUACUUCAACAAACCUAGAACCAACCCAUUUUAUAAAAUUACAAGCUUAAAACAUUACUUAUCCUUCUAACCGGUUUUACUUUCAACUAUCUACUUAUAGACAAUCCGAUUUAAUUUCACAAAUCCAAUGAAUAAAAGAAAAAAUCAUUAGCUAAAAAGAAAGUAUGUCACAUGAGGUGAAUGGUUAAGCAAACUGAAAGCAUUUGAAUGUAUUUUUGAUGCAUUAAGUUAUUUAUAUUUUAUGUCAAAAUAUUCCAAAUUAAGUAAAGUUUAUUUACCAAAUGGCUUGUAGCCUAGCGGUAUCAGAUGGUGUUCUCCCUCUUUAGGUCGAGGGUUCAAGUUCCGUCGUGGACAUAGGUGAAAUAAAUGUUGUUAGUUUAGGAGUAGAUUAGAAUUGCCGGUUUAAAAAAAAAAUAAAUAAAGUUUAUUUGAUCGAUUGGGUUUUAUGGGAUCCGAUCCGAACCAUAAAGCCUUUUUGUAAUCUAAAGACCUCUUUAAUACACUCGAGCAUCAAGGUUUGCGUACAAAAUGUGUGAGAUUUAUAUUUUAUUUUAAAAUAACAAUAAUUUAAAAAUAAAAUUAAAUAAAUAAAAAAUAAAACCCAAACCUGAACGACAAUGGGCUUCGAUGCCUCAUUCGGAGAAGACGUUCAACCCCCUUUGUGAAUUGUUGAUCUUCGAUUUCCCCAAAUAAUUCCCAAAAAUCGACAAAGUGAAAGGAAGCAAGAUCAUAACUCAGAAGUUUGUCACCUCUGCUAGUGCGCGAGGUCCACGACGGACGACUCUCGCCUUGCCCGGAGGAUGCGCAAAAGGUAAACUUUGGUUUUUUGUUCUUCGAUCUGGUUCUUCCUUAAUCUACUAAAUUCAAUUAUGCAUUCCAUAAAUCGGCAUCAGAUUCUAAGUUGCUUACAAUUCCAUCUUGUUUAUCCGAUUUGUAGGUUACCGUUUCUUCGGAUUCUGUAACGAUUGAUGUUUGUUUGAUUAUUGAAAUGAAAUGAAGUCGAUUUAAGCUCAAUUGUGUAUACAUGAGGUGUUUUUGCUCUUUUUGAACUGAUGAAGAUUGGGAUCUGAGAUUUUAGUGUGACAUAUUUCAGGAUUUAAUCUGCCUGUUUAACUCAACUUCAUGAAUUGUAACAACUACACGAAGAAUUCGAAUGUUUUUACUAUCAUAAACACGAUUACACCUAACCAGCAAUUCAGAUUUUUGUUUCCCUCUGAUUUUAAAAGAGUUAUAUACAUGAAAAUCUGAUUUACAAAAUCCAAGUGCAUUGUGCCUAAGAACCCUAUAUUCUCCCCCAAUUUCUAACAGCAACCUUAUGCAGUUAUGCCAUUGGUUUAUUGAGCAUAUACAUUUGCAUACAAUGUUUAUUGAUUUUGUGAUGCUCCAUUUCUCUUUUUGAAGGUGGUUAUGAUCUGCCAAGAUCCAAUCUGAUAAAAUCUAUCAACAAUUUGCUCUGAUAUAAACAUGGGGUGCCCGAAUCAACUACCCGAAGGAGUAACAGCUGCCCGAGACACCAAAGAUUGUUCCCCUUCCUCCUCCUCCUCCUCCUCCUCCUCCUCCUCCUCUUCUUCUUCUACUUCUUCAGCAUUCAUGGUGAAUUCAGAAAUCGGUGCAGUUUUAGCAGUUAUGAGAAGAAACGUUCGAUGGGGUGUUCAAUACAUGGACAAUGAAGAUCAAUUAGAACACCCAUUAAUCAAAUCCUUCAAAGAAAUUCGAAAAAAAAUCUUCUCAUGGCAACAUCAAUGGCACACCAUAAACCCUAUUCUUUACCUUCAACCCUUUUUAGAUGUGAUUCAAUCGGAUGAAACAAGUGCUCCAAUAACCGGUGUUGCAUUAUCAUCACUUUACAAAUUCUUAACCCUUGAAGUUCUUGAUCUUGACACUGUGAAUGUAUCUGAUGCAUUGCAUUCGAUUGUUGAUGCUGUUACAAGCUGUAGAUUUGAGGUGACUGAUCCUGCUUCUGAAGAGGUGGUUUUGAUGAAGAUUUUGCAGGUUUUGUUGGGGUGUAUGAAGAAUGAAGCUUCGGUUAAAUUGAGUAAUCAGCAUGUUUGCAAUGUGGUGAAUACUUGUUUUCAGAUUGUUCAUCAAGCAGGGGCAAAAGGGGAAUUGUUGCAAAGAACAGCUAGGCAUACUAUGCAUGAGUUGAUUAGAUGUGUUUUUAUGCAUCUCCCAGAUGUUGUGAAUAAGGAAGAUGAGGUUACUCAUGAGGUAAGUUGACUUUUUUCUUUCUUUUUUGACUUGCUUUUUUUUUUUUUUUUUUUUAGUUUUUUUUUUUNNNNNNNAAUUUGUUUUUUUUUUUUUUUUUUUUGUUUUUUUUUUUUUUUUUUUUUUUUUAGUUUUGUUUAUAGAUUAGUAAUUUGCAUAUUUUGUUUCCCAUUUUGCUGUUUGAUAAUGCUUUAGGUCCCUGAAAUUAACACAAUUUGUUUUAUGUUAUAAUCACUAAAAAUAUAAAGUGGAGGGCAAAAUGGUCAUUUUGACUAAUUUGCAUAUUUUGUUUCCCAUUUUGCUGUUUGAUAAUGCUUUAGGUCCCUGAAAUUAACACAAUUUGUUUUAUGUUAUAAUCACUAAAAAUAUAAAGUGGAGGGCAAAAUGGUAAUUUUGACUAAUUUGCAUAUUUUGUUUCCCAUUUUGCUGUUUGAUAAUGCUUUUGGUCCCUGACACUAACACAAUUUUUUUUACUAUAUAAUUACUAAAAAUAUAAAGUGGAGGGCAAAAUGGUCAUUUUGACUAAAACAAACGGUGUUAGUGUUGGUGUUGGGGAACAAAAGUACUUUGAAUCACUGGAAUAAGGACCAAAUAUGAAAAAAGAUUUAUUUUUGGACUGAAAUGGGAAUGAUCAGUACAUUAUAUCGAUUACAAAAAUCUACCAAAUUAUAAUAUUGUACUCUCAAUUAUUUAUUAUUAAGAUAUUAAACUUUUGAAAAAUAUACCUGUUGUAUUUAGAUGACAUUGCUAAUAUUUAGUAGAUUUUUUCAUUUCUUUCUAUUAUUUUUUUUUCUUAUUAAGGCAUUGUAAAUUGAAAAAUCUCCUUAAUUGACUAAUUUUUGUAAUUUUAUUCGUUUGACUCAGGUCAACGUGCCCAGUAACGAACAAUCAUCCACUAGUAACGGCUACACCGGUUCAAAAAUCGAAUCCGUCGGAGGUUCUUUAAAUCUUUCCGCCGUCGUACCGGAAGUCAAAAUGGAUGAAACUUCCGGCGAGGUUGGUCAAACUAAAAACCAUGUUGUUACAGAGCCUUAUGGUGUUCCAUCAGUGGUGGAAAUCUUCAACUUCCUUUGUUCACUUUUAAACGCGGUAGAACAUUCCGGAAUAGCUCCAAGAUCGAACUCAUUAGCAUACGAUGAAGACGUUCCUUUAUUCGCCUUGGGUUUAAUCAACUCCGCCAUUGAAUUAGGCGGCGCCGCCCUCAGCCAGCAUCCGGAGAUUCUCGCCCUAGUGCAAAACGAUCUGUUCCAUAGCUUAAUCCAGUUCGGAUUGUCUCCAAGUCCGCUGAUUCUUUCAACAGUUUGCAGCAUCGUUUUGAAUCUCUACCAUCUCAUGCGAGUUAAACUGAAAUUGCAGCUCGAAGCGUUCUUCUCUUCUGUUCUCAUGAAGAUUGCUCUGAAUAAACACGGAGCUUCGUAUCAACAACAGGAAGUCGCGAUGGAAACUCUCGUUGAUCUUUGUCGGCAACCGACUUUCAUCCACGAAAUGUACGCGAAUUACGAUUGCGACAUAUCGUGUAGCAAUGUUUUCGAAGAUUUAUCCAAUUUGUUAUCAAAAAGCGCGUUUCCGGUGAAUAGUCCGUUAUCGGCGAUUCACGUUCUUGCCCUAGAAGGAUUAAUCGCGAUGAUAAGCGGCAUGGCGGAAAGCAUCGGCGAUGAAGCGCCACCGCUAGAACCAGAUCCAUCGAGUAUUGAAGAUCACGAGUCGUUUUGGAAAGUGAAGUGUGAGAAUUUCGAGAAUCCCGAUGCUUGGGUACCUUUCAUUCGUAAAAUGAAGCAUAUCAAGAAGAAAUUAGCAAUCGGGUCGGAUCAUUUCAACCGGGACCCAAAAAAAGGUCUGCAAUUUCUCCAAGGAAUGUAUUUAUUACCUGAAACACUCGACCCAAUCAGCGUAGCAUGCUUUUUACGUUACACUACUGGACUCGAUAAAAACCUCGUCGGUGAUUAUCUCGGGAAUCACGAUCAAUUUUGCAUCGAUGUUCUUCAAGAAUUCGCCGGAACUUUUGAUUUCAGGGACAUGAAUCUCGACAUCGCGCUACGUGUUUUUCUAGAAACCUUCAGAUUACCAGGGGAAUCACAGAAGAUUCAGAGAGUUGUCGAAGCAUUUGCUGAAAGAUAUUAUGAACAGUCGCCGGAUAUUCUCGCAAACAAAGACGCCGCCUUGUUAUUAUCAUAUUCUUUAAUUAUGCUCAACACAGAUCAACACAACGCUCAGGUGAAAAAAAAGAUGACGGAGGAAGAUUUCAUCAGAAACAACCGGAGAAUCAAUGGUGGCAAUGACCUCCCCAGGGAGUACUUAUCAGAGCUUUACAGAUCAAUCAGUGAAAACGAGAUUAAAAUGACACCUGAACACGGUGUCGGGUUUCCGGUCAUGACCCAUGAUAACUGGGUCGGGUUGAUCCAUAAAUCCCGACAAACUGCUCCAUUCAUCGUCUGCAAUUCAGGCGACAACUCUGGUGACCGGAUUAACCAUGAAAUGUUUGCGAUUUUAUCCGGGCCCACCGUUGCCGCCUUAUCUGUUAUUUUGGAUCUUGUGGAACAAGAAGAUGUUUUACAAGUUUGUAUCGAUGGGUUUCUUGAUGUUGCUAAAAUCGCCGGGAGUUAUCAUCUUGAUGAUGUUCUAGACGGGUUGCUUGUGUCUCUUUCCAAAUUCACAACGUUGCUGAUUCCGAUGUCGAUUGAGGAUUCCGUUCUUGCGUUCGGUGACGAUUCCAAAGCCCGGAAAGCAACGGUUGCGGUUUUCACAAUCGCGAAUUCAUACGGCGAUUACAUACGAUCGGGCUGGCGAAACAUUCUUGAUUGUAUUCUAAGUUUACACAAAUUAGGGCUUUUACCCGCCCGAUUAGCCCGUGAUGCCGCUGAUGACUUCGAUUCCGUUUCCGAUCCUGAUUCCGGGAAAUCAACAGUCACCCCGGUAUCAACAAAACCCGCGUUACCCCCGUCCCGGAAACCAUCCGGGCUUAUGGGGCGCUUCAGUGAGUUUCUUUACUACGAUACCGAAAAACCCGCCCCGCAACCCUCCGAAGAACAAGUGGAAGCUCGGAAUCGGGCGAUGGAAACCGUUAAAGAUUGUCAUAUCGAAAACGUGUUCACGGAAAGUAAGUUUCUUCAAUCGGAAUCUCUUUCGAGUCUGGCNNNNNNNNNNNNNNNNNNNNNNNNNNNNNNNNNNNNNNNNNNNNNNNNNNNNNNNNNNNNNNNNNNNNNNNNNNNNNNNNNNNNNNNNNNNNNNNNNNNNNNNNNNNNNNNNNNNNNNNNNNNNNNNNNNNNNNNNNNNNNNNNNNNNNNNNNNNNNNNNNNNNNNNNNCCGCGCCCUGAUGCUGGGCGCGGGCCCCUCCGGAAUCAGUAAUUCCGGAGACGAUGAAGACGCGGCAAUCUUCUGUCUGGAAUUACUGAUUACUGUUGCGUUGAAUAACCGCGACCGGAUUAUGAUUCUAUGGCAAGGGGUGUACGAGUACAUUGCGAAUAUUGUUCAAUCCGCAGUGAUGCCGAGUGCGUUAGUGGAAAAAGCGGUUUUCGGAUUAAUCCGAAUUUGUCGAAGGCUUUUACCUUAUAAAGAAGAUUUAACCGAUGAUUUACUAAAAUCCCUUCAAUUGAUUCUAAAACUCGACGCCAGGGUGGCGGACGCGUAUUGCGAACACAUAACACAAGAAAUCAUGCGGUUGGUCAAAGUCAACGUCGGUCAAAUAAAGUCUCACAUGGGGUGGCGGACAAUCACCUCGCUUCUAUCAAUCACCGCGCGACAUCCGGAAGCUUCCGAGCCGGGAUUCGAAACCCUAGAAUUCAUCAUGUCGGACGGGGCCCACUUGUUACCCGCGAAUUUCGUCCUAUGUGUCAACGCGGCUAGGCAAUUCGCAGAGUCGCGAGUGGGUGACGUGGUGAGGUCGGUUAAGUCGGUUGAUUUGAUGGCGGGGUCGGGUGUUUGUUUAGUACGGUGGUCCCGAGAAGCGGAGGAAGCCUCCCUACAAGUAUACGAAGAUAUCGGUGAAAUGUGGUUGAGAUUAGUUCAAGGGUUGAAGAAAGUUUGUUUGGAUUCGAGGGAGGAGAUACGGAAUCAUGCGGUUUUGAUGUUACAAAGAUGUGUGACGGGUUUAGACGGGAUUUAUCUUGAAGAUGAGAUGUGGUUGCAGUGUUUUGAAUUGGUGAUUUUUGGUGUUGUUAAUGAUUUAUUGGAAAUUGUUGAGGAGAAAUCGGUGAAAGAAUAUAGAAACAUGGAGGGGACGCUUGUUUUAUCGUUGAAGCUUUUAUCGAAAGCUUUUUUGCAUUCGUUGCCGUGUAUUUCGAGGUUGGUUUCGUUUGAGAAAAUUUGGGUCGGGGUUUUGAAUGGGAUGAAGCGGUAUAUGGAGGUUAAGUUUAGAGGGAAACGGAGUGAGAAAAUUUACGAAUUAGUCCCUGAGCUUCUUAAGAACACUUUGCUUGUCAUGAAAGCGACCGGAAUCCUUUCGUUGCCGGAUUCCGAUUCCGGUGGGGGUGGUGAUUCCGGUGGGGUAUGGAAUCAGACCUGGGUACAUGUGAAAACGCUAGCACCGUUGUUGCAGUCGGAGGUGUUCCCGGAUGAGGAACCGGAACCACGAACCGUGGGUGCCACCACACCGGUUCCCGAGGCUAAUUUGUUGGUUCCAUGAAGUUUUGAGGGGCAAAAUUGGAAAUUGGGAAUGGGGAGUUUUAGUUGAGGUAAGGACUAAAGAGGUUUUCAUAUAUUUGUAUACUUUUAGUACAUUGUAUAAUUGUUGGUCGGAGGUGAACCAUGAACAAGUUUUUUUGUUUAUUAUUAUUUUGGUAUUUGGUUGACUUUGACAUUGACAUUCACAUUGACAUUUGUUGACCUUUUGAUGAGUCAAAGGGAUUUAUAGAGGCACAUAUAGAUUCUCCUCAAGCAUGUUUUUUUUGGUAGCCAAACUUAUCUAUCACUUAAACGUCAUUGUUGUUUACCAUAUAAAUCAGAUAUACAUACUAUGUUACGAAAUUUUUAUUGAGUUUAUAGAGUAAUGUACAUAUAAUCAUGAUUUUGUAAAUAAGCUAACAACCCCCAAGUGUGCUCGUAGGAAAAUUUACUUGAUAAAUAAGAGCAUUUAAAUAUAAUUUUAGGAGGUGAUAUCUAUUCAUUAAGAUUGGAAAGAAUAGUAUAAUUUUAGGAGGUGAUAUUUCCACUUGUAUUUUAUGUAUUCAUUAAGAUUGAAAGGAGUGGUGUUACUGAUACCAAAUGCCAAGCUCCACACCAGAUUUCACCUCAACCAUGGAGAGCUUUGCCACUCCCUUCUCUCUCCGGGUUAAAAAAAGAUGGUUUGAUUUUUGUAUCUUAGUUACAAUUCUUUUUGUCCAAUUGAAAGAUAUAAAAAUUAAAACAUCUUGUUUUUAAAUGUAAAUGUACGAGUAAAAAACAUAAGUUAAAAUAUCACCUCCAAUUAUUUGAGCUUUUAAAUCUAAUAUUUUUUGCUUUAAUUUUAAAGCUCACUAUUAGAUGUUUGUCAUUAUUUUAAUUAUAGUUUUUUCUUUUAUUCUAUUAGUUAUAAAUAAGUAAGGUUGUGGGAUCCUAAAGGAAACUUUGUGAAAUUUUCUUGUACCAUCACAUAGAUAACUCAAGGUUAGUGGUUUGUUAAGUUGAGAUUGUGAAAUGAAAAGUUUAUUGAAAAAGCUUUUUACCGGUGAGAUUAUAUUUGAUGUUUGUUUAAAAAACAUUUUUUAAAUAUUUUUUCCCCUCAUUUUACACCAUUUCUUUUUAAAAUCUUGUUCCAUCUAACACUUUAUAUUUGUAUUUAGAGGUGAGUAUUUGGACUUUUGGACCUAACCGGCCUCAACAGGUCCGGUCCAAGGUCCACCAAUUUCUACAAAACCGAUCUGAUCCGGUUGUGUCAAAUUACUCACCCAACAAUCGAAAUAAAUAAAUUAAUUUUUGAUAGAUUUCAAUGAGUUGUACCGAAUGCACAUAAAGUUUUAUCGAUACAACAGAUACAAAAACUGGAAAAUCCGGACUGGACCGGUCUCAACUGGUCCAGUCCAAAAUCCACUAAUUUCUGUCAAAUCAGUUUGGUCCAAGAGUGUUGUCCGGUUUAAUUCGGUCAAAAUACUUGUCCCUAUUUUUACUAGGUAAUUUCUUUGUGCUUUGAAAUUGGUUUUUUAUAUCAUAGUAAAAACAUCAAAUAUUCUUUUCAUGUGUUCGGCAUUUCAAAUAUCAAAUUGCAAUUUAAUAUUAUGAAUCAAUAAAAAUCCGUAGAUUUCUUUUUCUUGGAAAAUACAUAACUUAAUCAUCAGUUAUAAAGUUGAUGAAUAAUUUAUGUAAAAAACCUAGAAUAUGAAUAUUAUCAUAUUAUGUUAAAAGGAUCUUUCCAUGUAUAACUAUUUCUAUAUUUUUAUUUUAUUUCUUAUUAAAUAUAUCUAUCCAAAAAGCAUUUAUCCCAAAAGUUCUUAACCAAAAAAAAAAAAGAAAAACAAAAACAGGUUUAGCAUCGAACGGAUAAAAUUGGGCUUCCUUUGGGAUAAUGUCAACGUGCUGUUGCUUUAUCAUUUGCUUUCAUCCCAUUAACAAGCACUACAAAAAAACCAUCGAUAAACUUCCAAUUACAACUAUAUUGCCACAUCAGAUCCACCGCCGGAAACCGCCUAAUUUGCCGACCACCGAAUUUCUUCCGAUCAGAUCAGGUUCGUUAUCUUCAUCUCUAUGCGUUUAUUAUUUGGAUAAAUAAAUCUUACAGGAAAGCUAUCCGUAUACACCUGUUGACAGAUGAAUUGUGGUUUGAUUUAAUUUUGAUUUCGAUUCUAAUUUGUCUGCUCUUUUUAAUCGGUGCAAUCGGUAUGUGAUCGUUGUAGUUUUAUUUGAGGGGUUGUUUCCGGAGAGAUGAGUGAAACAUUUGAAGGUUGCGAACGCCAAUACUGCGAGCUUUCGGCGAGUUUGUCGAAGAAGUGUACAUCAGCUACUUUACUCGAUGGAGGUGAGCCAAAACCCUAAUUCGGUUCAAUAGCUUUCAAAACUAUGUGUAUAUGUUGUUAUUAAUCUGAUGUUGCCAUAGAUUAAAGAUAUUCUAAAGGAUUUAGAAACAAACAUGAUAGAACCUUGUUGAUUUACCUUACAUUGAUGUUGUCUAUGUCAUCUGAUUCCCAAAUUAGAAUUGUUCAGCAUCCUUUUGGUUCAAAUCAGGACAGGAGUCAGGAAAUUAAUUUAUGAUCUUAUACUCUAAGUUUUAGAAUGCUGUAGAUUGUGUCCUGAUGCCUUUUACCUAUCCUAUUUCUGUAUUAUCAAUGCUCCAUUGUACCCAAAAACAAAUCUAAAUUCCUUCUAUUGCUUCAUCUCCUACAAGUCAGCUAUAAUCUGACUUUUGUUGGCAUGGUUUUGAUGCCUUUAUUAUCCCUCAAUUUUAUCACAUGAAUUUCUGCUGAAACUUUGGUGUUUGUUCUUCCAGAAAGAACAAUGGCUAAUAUGUUGAAAUUGGAGGAGGUGUUUGGUGUUUGAUGUUAGGAUUUAGCAUUUGAGACACGUGGAUUUGAGAAAUAUUGAUUUACUUUAGACAGUUGGGUGAAAUAGUCAUUUAUUUUCAUUCAUGAGUUUAUUCAGUUAAAAAUAAAAAGAAACUUUUUUUUGUUCAUACAUACAGACAUCACUUAAUUAGGAAAAAAGAAAGAAAGAAAGAAACAGAUCCUUAAAUUGUGUGUCUGUUAUCACUUUAUUCAACUUUAAUAAACCUUUUUAAUGUUGAAAAAAUAAAAGUUUGCGAGCUUCAUCGGGCAUGAAAAUGUUUAUAUGGUUAAAAAAAAAAAACUAAAAUAAGAUUCUGUUAAAAUCCCACCUUAGAUUUCACCAACUAAAACAUUAUGCUUGGGUUUUUUCUUCGUAAUAUAUACAUAUUUUUAAUUUCUUGAGGCCUCGUUUAUUUUUAACUUCUAAAAUAGACUCUCCAUGUCUCAGCCGUACAAAAGACGUAAAUACCCUCAUUGUAAAUAACCCUCGAAAGCUUCUCUAGUCCCAUGUAACAAACACAACCUAAAUCUUUUUCCGUUCUACAUUAUCAAUUUAUGUUUCUUAUUUAUUCGUUUCAGAGCAAAAGAAGCAGAAAAUUUCUGAAAUAAAAGCCGGAAUCGAUGAAGCCGAGUCUCUGGUAUCGUGUCAAUCCUUGAUUCCAUUCCAUUAUUUAUCUCAUAACACAUUUUUCUUUUUAAUAAUAAUAAAAUAUAAAUUCAGAUACGAAAAAUGGACACAGAGGCAAGAAGCCUACCACCAAAUGUAAAAGCUGUUCUUUUGGCGAAAUUAAGAGAAUACAAAUCGGAUUUGAAUAAUUUGAAAAGUGAAAUUAAACGAAUUGCAUCAUCCAAUUUAAAUCAAGCUGCCCGAGAUGAAUUAUUGGAAUCAGGAAUGGCAGAUGCAACUGCGGUAUGUAUGACUUAUAUCCAUCAUUUUAUUAUGACAAAACUGCACAAAUGGUCCCUGUGGUUUGCUCAAAAUUGCCACUUUGGUCCAAAAAGGCUUGGACUAGCACUAGAGGUCCAAAGUUUUCAUUUUGUUGCUUGUUUGGUCCAAUCUGUUUUGAUUUUUUUCAAAAUGACGAAUUUGCCCCUGUUAAUAUGAUUUUCUUUUUUUCUUAUUUGUUUUUCUGAUUUUAUAUUUAAAAAAAUAAAAAAUAAAAAUAAAUCACUCUCUCUCUCUCUCUCUCUCUCUCUCUCUCUCUCUUAUUUGUUUUUAUUUUUCUGAUUUUAGAUUUAAAAAAAUAAAAAAAAAAAAAAUAAAUUACAUUUUUGGUCCCAAGAAGUUUUCUCUUGCAAUUUUGGUCCUUAUUUGGGGUUCUUGUAAUGUAACUGGUCUGUGUUUUAAGUAAAUGACUAUUUUUGGUCCCUUAGUAUAGUUGAUUUUUGCAAUUUUGGUCCAUCAUUGAGAUUCUUGUAAUGUUUUUGGUCUUUGUUCCAAAUAAAUGACCAUUUUUGGUCCCCAAGUAUAGCCAGAUUUUAUAAUUUUCGUCCCAAAAUGUUUUUCUUGCAAUUUCAGUCCUUAUUUGAGGUUCUUGUAAUGUUUUUGGUCUGUGUUUCAAGUAAACUGACUAUUUUAGUAUUUUUGGUCCCUACAUGUAGCUGAUUUUUGCAAUUUUGGUCCUUAUUUGAUGUUCUUGAAAUGUUUUUGGUCCUUGUUCUAAGUAAAUGACCAUUUUUGGUCCCCAAGUAUAGCCAGAUUCUACAAUUUUGGCCCCAAAAAGUUUUCUCUUGCAAUUUUGGUCCUUAUUUGAGGUUCUUGUAGUGUUUUGGUCUUUGUUUCAAGUAAAUGAUCAUUUUCAGUCCCUGAGUAUAGCCAGGUUUUUCAAUUCUAGUCCCAAAAAGUUUUCUCUUGCAAUUUUAGUCCUUAUUUGAGGUUGCUGUAACGUUUUUGGAAGUAAAACGAUUAUUUUUGGUCCCCAAGUAUAGUUGAUUUUUUCAGUUUUGGUCCCAGAAAGUUUUCUCUUGCAAUUUUGGUUCUUGUAACUUAAAAUGACUAUUUUUUGGUCCCUGAGUAUAGCUGACUUUUACAAUUUUAGUCCCAAAAGUAGUCUUUUUACUUGAAACAGUGACAAAACACGUUACAAAAAUCUCAAAUAAGGCAGGAGAAAAUGUUUUUGGACCAAAAUUGAAAAACAAAAGGUAUACUCAAGGACCAAAAGUGUAAUUUAAAAUUAGUGGUGUGAAUGUGACAGGUGUCAGCAGACCAAAGAGGAAGGUUAUUAACGUCAACAGAAAGAUUGAAUAAGUCAAGUGACAGAGUUAGGGACAGUAGAAGGACUAUGCUUGAAACUGAAGAACUCGGUGUUUCACUUCUACAAGAUCUUCAUCAACAGCGAGAGUCUCUUUUACGUGCCCAUGGAACCGUAAUUUAAAUGACAUAAAUGCCCCUUGUACUUUCCACCUUAUUGUUCAUUUACCCACUUGAUUACUUAAUACUGGUUUUUGUAUGUUUUCAGCUUCAUGGAGUUGAUGAGAACAUAAGCAAGAGUAAAAAAAUAAUGACAAAUAUUUCAAGAAGAAUGGGGAAAAACAAGUGGAUAAUUGGCUCUGUGGUUGCUAUUCUUAUCAUUGCCAUCAUCUUGAUUUUGUACUUCAAGUUGAAGAAGUAGAAUCCCAAAAUUCAAGCCUUUUGUGUUUUGUUGGUUUUGCAAGUGUGUCAUUUAUUGUGGGCUUCUUCUUCUUCUUUUUUUUUUUUUUUUGAAAAAAUGUUUGAUUUAUUUUGAGCAAAAACACAUAUUUCCAAGUGUUGAUCUUUGUUGUGGUUUUUGGGAUCUUACAUAUGCAUGAAAAUAAACUUUUUGUGGCUUGUUUAUGAUGCAUCCUAUUGUCAACAAACUUAGCAAUCUUUAGGUAAGUAUGUUGCACUGUGUUUGGCAUCGUGUUAUUUUUUUAGAACCAAAAAAAAUGUCAAUCAUGACUUUUGUGAAGCAAGCAAUGAAUAUAAAACAAUACAAGAGGAGUUUCAUUUUCAUCGAGUUUAAGUUUUUUUUUAUUUUUGCAUUAUGUAAUUUAUUAAUGAUAUAUAUAUAUAUAUANNNNAAAUAUAUUUGGACCGGUUCUAAUGGAAUACGUUCGUACUCAAUAUAAAUCAAGUAUACAAUUUACCAAAGGAUUUAUGUCGUCUACACUCUACACCAAUAGGAUAAGUGUACUAUAUCCACACGAAAUUUACUGAUUUCAUAAUGGGAUAUAUGUAGAAAAACACAUUAUAUAUACAUAUAUUAUAUAUACAUAUGUAUAUGUAGAAAUUUAUUUAUAUUAUUUUUUAUGUUCAGAAAAACCUUUAUAUUAUUACAUAUUGUUUCAAAUAAAACAAAAUUGCAAAUUUUUAAAAGAAAUGACAUGAUAAAAAUGUGAUACUCCCUUUCGUCCCAAAACUAUAGUCCAUCUUUCAUUUUUUGUUUGUCCCAAAAUAAUAGUCUAUUUAUAAAAAUAAAUAACAUUUUUACUAGAACACUCCAUCAUUAUUAUUUAACCAACUAAAUAUUUAAUAGAACAUUAAAUGCAAAGUAAAUACAAAACUGUCAUUUUAUUAUAUAAAGUUAGUGGUAAUUAAUGGUUUCUUAAUUUGAAUGUUUUUUUUGUCUGUGGACAAUAAUUUUAGGACGAGGGAAAUAUGACAUGCAUACCUCUGAAAUUUCUUUGAUUGUAAAACAUGUCAAAACCUAUAUUUAUUUCAAUUACUUUUGUUCGACUGUCUUCUCCGUAUGGAAUUAUACGACUGAUUUUUCAUUCCUUAACUAAUCAUUUUUAUCAUAAUUAACAUGAUGUCGUAUUAAAAAAACAAAAAUGUAAGCAACAUCAUAUUUGUAGUCGUCAAUUUCUCUUAAAAACCCGUAUUUUGGUCUUUUUCGAAGGAUAACUAUUAAUAUAAGGGUUUUUUCUAAACCUAAAAAUAAUAUAAGGGUUUUUCUGUACAUACGUGUAUAAUUCGUUGUGUUUUCUGCAUAUAUCCCUUAUAAUGUUUAUAAUUACAUUGAGAUUCUAUAUAUAAUAUUAUGUAUUUGACUUAGACUACAAAUCAGCCGGACCUACUUUUCUUUUUCUUCUUAGGUCGAUUUCGAUUGAUUAAUAUAAGAUACACAAGCAAUCCGAUUGCACAAUACAACAAAGAGAUGUAUUGAUAAUUUGGUAUGUAGAAGCCUUGUCUAUAUGUCUUUAACUGUAAGAUGCAUAACGAACGUUAAAGAUGCAAUAUUUGUUGACUAUUGUCAAUGAGAUAAAUAUGCAUUAUGCAUAAAAAGGUUGUCAUUUAGUCAAAAAUGUUGUCAUGUGUUGCACAUUAGCUCUAAGUCAAAUAUGGACCAUGUACUAUAUUAAUGUACCUUAAGGCAAUGUUUGACACAUGGACAAUAUGAGACAAAAUUGAACCGAACAUAGUUAAACUAGAUUGAACAAGAUUAUAUAAUUAUUUUUAUAGCGUUUGUGAUUACAACAGAACACUACAAUAUAGUAAAAUUAUUAGAUUGUACUUUUUUCAGUUUUAAAGGUGCCUAAAGUCGUGAUUAAUUUUUUUUGGAGAGUUUAAGAAUUCGUUUCUUUUGGGGUGCGAAUGAUAAAGAGAGAAAGAUAACUUGGGUCAAGUGAGACAAGGUUCUUAAUUCUAAGGAGAAGGGUAGAGUUGGAAUUGGAAGUAUGAUGGCUUUUAAUAUUGCUUUGUUGCUUAAGUGGAGAUGGAGAUUUCAUAUUGAUUCGAACUCUGUUUGGGCUAAUAUCAUUUGAAACAUCCAUGGGUUUAAUGGGGGGUUUUGGACAUCUAGGUCAAAUACCGAAAAGGGUCGAGUUUGUGGAUUUCGUUGAUCAAACUUUUUCAUGCAAUUCAUGAAAAAAAAUAUUGUCUAGCAUUUUUAUUUGAGAAAAUGUAUUGGUAAUGGUUAAGAAACUCAUUUUUGGGAUGAACAUUGGCCGAUGGACGGUUUACUUAGGGAUAGA